UUUUUUUUUGUUGUUGUUCAGUUUUCGUAAUUAUAAUGGGCUUUAUUUAAAAAACAAGUGGGCUCAGUUUGGCCCUGUCUGUAGCCGGUUUGUCCGUAUAGGCGCUCUCGAUCGAUCACUGCUCUCCAGCGGCCCACUAGUGUCCACCGCAGCAUGCCCCGUCCACCCGUGUCUCUCGUUUGUGCACCACGCGACGCGCUAGCUGCAUCCUGCCUGCACUGCAUGUGCCGCCUCCUUUUGUCUCGGCCGCCCGUCGCCGUUAUUCCUCACGCCAUCGUUGCCGGCCUAGCCUAGCCGAGCAGCAGCUUUGCAUUGCAUCGCUCUAGGCCUUUAGUUAGCCACGUCUCCCUCCCUCCCCACUCUCUCUCCUCCUUUUCUGUGCUAGCGAUACACAGACACGUUCAUGUCAUGUCAUGCGCACCACCACCCCACACGCGUGGCGUGAGGCGUUUGCGCUCGUUGCGUUGCGGCGCUGCAUCUGCAUGAACGGCGUCCCACCGAGCAUGAGACAAGGGAAUGCAAAGGAUUUUAUUCUCGCAUGCAGAUUUUGCCCACUGUCGUUUUCUUUCCUUUACUUUAACUUCAUUUUUACAAGAAAUUACUAUUUUUCUAAAUAAAAAUAAACUAAUAUAUUUCAGGAAAAUAGAAAUCGUUUAAGAAAAUGAGUUUCCAAACUAGAGAGAGAAAACACUGAGUAAAGUAAGAGUUUUUUUUUCUUAAUGACUAGCAUUACAUUUCUGCUUUUUUUUACCUUACGACGAGGACAGCUUUUAAAAACAGCACUACCAACCACACAGUAUGAUAAUUUUUUUUACAUUAUGAGGAUGACUUUAAAAAACUUCUACAAAAACGUACUGUUCUCUCUCACUGUACAAUAAUCAACGCAUAAUUUCAGUCCUACUAUAAAACUUGCCUUAUAGGUUUAGUGCGGCAACGCUUUAUUUUAGAGUUUUAUCAUCAUGAUUCCUGUUAGCUAUAUGGUGAUUAAUUGUUGUGGAACGAAGGAAUUAGGGCCUGUUUGUUUACCCCCAUGAAUUAUAUAAUCUGGAUUAUUUUUGGAGGAUUAUAUAAUCUGGAUUAUAUAAUCUGAGUAGUCCUGUUUGUUUACCCAGAUUAUUUGAGUUGUUAAUAGGAUUCUUUUGUAUGAGGAAGACAAGAAUACCCUCUAUAUUUGUACUAGGUUGAAACUCAUAUAUGAAAAAAAAAUAAUUCAAUUGACAUUGGCAAAUAUUGCAUUAGCAAUAUUAUCACGGAAGGCAUUCAUGUCACCUUCUUCAUCUCCAAAUUGACUAGUACUAGGCGCAAAAACGAUUCGGUGGAUUAUAAUGACAAUGGUGGGUAAUUUCUAGGAAACUUGAAAGGGUAGUGGGGAAGUGGGAAAAAAAUAAUCUGAAAUAAGCACCUCCUCACUUGCUUAUGGAUUAUCAUAAUCCAAGGGGUUAGAUUAUAUAAUCUGGGCAAAUAAGCUGGACUGUUUGUUUGCCUCUUAGGAUUAUUUAAUCCAGAUUAUAUAAUCUGGGGGGUAAACAAACAGGCCCUUAUAUUGAAAUGAUGCCAAAAGAGGUUUUUUCCCCUUCUUCUUUGCGUGUUUACCAAAACCAUCCACUAUCUUUAACACGGAGCAAAGUGGAUGGUUGCAAUAAAGCCGGGCCCACAGAAAAGUCGAUCGGCUGCCUCUCUCUCCGACAAGUAUUUAAAAGCCUCGGCGGCUUGGCGCUAGCCGCUACCGCCUUGUUGCAUUCUAUCUAUGCGUUGUCCUUAGCUUGUCCGCCCGCCCCUCCCUCGUCUUACCUCCUCCUCUCUACGGCCGGCCAGAUGAGCUCCACGGCCAUCGACGUCCUCUCGGCGCUGCCGCCGAUCAGGACCGCGGCGCCGGAGCCGGGUGCGGAGAAGAAGCAGCAGGAGGAGGACGGCUCGGAGGCCCAGGAGCCGGAGCCCACGACGCCGACGUCGGAGGCGAGCAGGCUGCGGCCUCCGUCCGAGUGCCCGCCGGCGCCGAGGAAGCCUGCGCGGCCGCCGUCGACGCCCGCCAAGCGCAGGUUCCCGGCGCCGCGCCGCGCCUUCUUCCCCGUGCCGCGCGACCUCAACGCCGUGUUCCGCGCCCUGCCGCCCAAGAAGCGGAUCCGGGCGGGCUGACGGCCGGGCCGGUCCGCGCCGCCGCGGCUCAAGCGGCCGCUUCCAAUUGGGUUCUAGCUACCUGGCGUACGUGCAGGACGACGACGACGGCAGGCAUCCACUCCUGUACUCCGCCAAAGGCCAGCCGCGCGCGUGUGGUGCACUCGUCCUUCAAGGACCAUGGCGUCAAAACGCAGUCUUGGGAGUUUCUUGCACACCUUGGUUUGUCCUUCCGGCAUGGUACAAACUACAGACUCGAGAUCCAGAGUUCUCGUACAAAUCGUGGGUUAGGUUCAUUAUUUGCGUGGAGGAGUAAAAACUGUAGAACUGGACAAGGCUAUUGUUUAUUUACAUACGGAUCAUGAAUGGGAAGAAUUAAUGGAAGAAAAUUCCCGAGGAUGGAUCCGUUUCAGUAUAUUCGUCAUUAUAAAACUAAAGCUCACAGUUUGCCAAAACCAUGCACAAGUGUGCUUGUCAUGGAUGGAUCCAUGGAGCAUGCAAGGAAGGUGGGGAUGGAUGGGAAACGUGAGCAGGCCAGGUACUUUGUGCACUUUUGUCCCGGCCGGCACAGCGGCACUGCACAGGUAUGUUGCAGCAGGUUUGUUUUGUGUUGUUCUUCAGUUCUGUUGACAGAUGGCAAUGGCAGAGGUGAUUGGUGGUCGAAGUUGUGCUGUGAUGUGCAUAUGCAUUGCCUGUAGUUUAGUUUGGAUAGACGCAAUCGCCGAUUAGUGAAUUACUUGUUUUUUUUUUAAAAAAAAGAAAACCCUAGUGGAUUGGUUGUUAGCUACGGUAUAUAUAUAAAAAAUAAUACUCCACUUGGUUAGAUGAUCUCACAAAGACUAAGAUUGUUUCCAGCAACGACCCCUAUAUCUAUUUUUUACAAUCUCUUCUAAAAGAUUUCAUCCUCUAUAAAUUUAUAUCUUAUUUCUCUUCAACAACGUCAUCUAAAUCAUAUCCUCUAUACGCAAAUAUCUAUAUCAGAGACAUUUUUUAUUUUUAAAUUUUUAUACAUAUGUAUUUUUUUAUACUCUCAAAUGUAUUGUACAUAUUUUAGUUUUGCUAAACCGGUUGUUUAAAGUAUUUAAAUGGAUAGAAGACUGUUUAGAGAAAACUAUACAUAUACCACAUGAUUGGUUGAAUGCUCCUCAGCAACCAGUCUCUAUUCGUGUGUUGACUGCUCCCCAACGUUUGAUUGGAAGGCUACAUAUGGAUGACCGUGUAUAGGCUAGAUUAACGCUUUUUUUGUUGCAUGCACAUAAACGGAGAAAAGCUAUGUUUGUGGAGAGAUAGGCUUGCGCGAGCCUUGUACGGAUUGCGCAUCCAACCAAUCAUAUGGAUAUAGAGAAUCAGCAGCGUCGUCUAAAGUUAGAGGACCGUUUGAUCCUCUAUAUUUAGGGUAGAGAAGCCUUUACCGACUAUGUUGGAGAGAGCCUAACAACUAAUCCUCCUGCUGUCAAACCAGUUCUAGCAUGUACCCUGCUCUGCUUCUCCUGGGACUAGGAGGGAGCAGUAACGAGUCAGCAGACGGGGGCAUGCCUGCAGUUCUGUACCCUCUGCAGGCCGGCCGACAGGUGGUUUGGCCACGAAGCCCGGGCGAUCAAUGCAGGGCUCCCAGGUCAAACGGGUAGGUAGCCCCAGCAGAGUAGAGGCCGGCACCAGCAGCACGAACGGGUAGGAGGCCGACAGCACCGGUGCUUGCAUGUAACCUAUCCGCAAGCGUUACCUUUAAAUUUUUUCCCCUAUAUCACUUUUUUAUCACAUCAUCAACAUUUCAUCCUCUAUGUUUUCAUCUCCCGCAGCGGUUCCCCCUAAAUACUUCCCCUAUACCCCACUACAACUAUAAAAUAUCAUUUUAUAUAUUUACUACCAAUUUUUAUCUACUAACAAUUACUCGUGGCCCCACAACACAAUGUUGUAGGGGGUGAAUAGUGAACCCCUUGAUCUGGGGGACUCCCGCUCCCACCCCUACGGCUGCAGCGCGUAGGGGGCUCUCUAGCGUCAGCCGCUGGGCGCGUAGAAGCUCCCUACGCAAGGGGAGAGGGCGCGGUAGCGCAACCGCUGUGCUCAGUCUAAUGCAACCUAGUUCCCUCUCAGCUGCAGUUAAGCAACAUGUAGGAGGAGCACCUGGAUUUCUGACGAAGAUCCAUCGAAUGCUUCGUCCAUCAGGUCAUUCAUCAUGUUUAUGUCCGAGCGCGCGAGCAAGAAAGAGAAAGAAGACCGAGGCAGGUGAGGUGAGUGGUGGCACAAGUCCAAAUCUUGAUCCUGAAGCAAAGGCGAUAUUCCCUCUGCCGUCUGCCCCUUGCAAUCUCCAUCACUCCCUCUACUGAAGUGGACAACAAACAACUGACGCAUGCUUCUUUUACCCUCCCAAAUCUAAAGCUUUUCCGUCCCGCCCUGCCAUGUCCGGUAUUGUUUCUACUGUCUCCUCUGCCCCUCAAGUCUAAAGCUGCGGAUUAUCGAGAAAAUACAUAUCUACACAUUAUUCAAUAUCAAAUAUGACUAGAUAUACAGGAAAAAAAAGGAUACAUGUCUUCAGAAAAUUAGUUUCAAAUCUGACUAAAUAUCAAUUCAGAUUAGAGCAGUGGCCAAAAAAAAAAAACAGCAGACAUCUUGUAUACAUACACAGUGACCCCCCCUGGUAGGCUGGUACCAUCUGCGGAUCUGCCUGGCUAUCACAUAAAGAAGAUAUAUCAGCAGGGCGGAACACAUUUGCUCUUAACUAUAUCCAAGGAAGCAAGUUUAGGUUCCUGCAAACACGCGUUGCAGGGAUGAAUGGAUGAGAGAGUGUUUCUGACAGCAUCACAUUUUUCAGGGUCUCCAAGACCCAGGAGAUGAUGUUUAAAUUGAGGCGCUCUUAUUCAUGGGAAAGGAAGAUACAACCGACAAGCCCUAGAAAGGGCAGCAAAAGUGAAGAUUACAUGGAGGGUGACAGCCAUAGAGGCUAACAAAUGUCCUGCACACAGACAGGCACCAAGCCACUGCUAAACUGAAGAACAAAGUGACAAACGAUGGGAAUUGGGAACUAGCAAGCAUGGAGCGCCUCCACCGUCAGAAUCUCAACUGCAAAAGGACAAUUUAGAUGAGAACAGCUCAGAGGAAUAUAGAAAUAAGAAAAUUUAGAUGGAGGGAUUGAUGGAAUGGAAGCAAAGAUGUUACCUCUUUAUUUGGAAGCAUCACUGUCAUUGUCGCUGUAAUCAUCGUCGUCUGCCGGCCGUCCGAAGCUGAAGAAUAGGUAUAACACCAAGAGGGUCGAAAAAACAUGGACGCAUUAGGGGAAGAAAUGAAGGAGUAGUAGCGACUUCAUGUGGGAGGAUAGUAGGAGACCAACUGCAUGCGUUACCUUUGAUGACGCCCAGAAGAAUGCUCAUCCCGUUCCAUGCAGUGGGUAGCUACUCGUGACAACUCAAGAGUUGGAUUCUUCGGAUGGGCAUCCAGUGCAUCCCUGAGCUUGGUCUCCACAUCCUCUACCUGCCUGAUGUUGGCUCCAUAGCAAUCAACUUCAACAGUGACAUGCUUCAGGGAAGUCAGGUUCUCCAAGCCGACAUCAAUCGCACCGUCAUCUCUCUUCCUCACUUCGAAGUACAGCUCAAGCUUUUGAAGUCUUGUCAUCACUCCUUGAGAAAGCACCAGCCAACAUCUUGCGCAGUGCUUAAAUUUGAAUGCUUCCAAUGACUGAAAGAGCUUAUCGCUACCAAUGGACAGCUGUUCUUGGGCAAUGGUGCCAUUCUCGGCUACUUCUAGCUGAAGAAGACGUAGCUCAGGCAAGGCUCCAAGCAUAUCGAUGUCAUCCUGUGUGAGAUUAUUCACAGUGAUGGUUAAGCCAGACAGCUCGGAGAGCCAAGAGAACCAACGUGGCAUCUGCUGGAAGGUCGUCUCGGUUCCACGAAAGAAACGGAGGCCUACUGGGGCCUGUCCAGGAUCGGGCAGGUCAUCUAAGGAACACAUCUCAGACUCAGUGAUGAAUAGACCCAAGAGGUUGCGUAGGUUGGACAGGCUCUGGAGAAAAGCCUGGUCGCCAGCCUCAUCGUAACCCAGUCCAUGUACGCACAACACCCUCAUUUCUGUCAGCUUUCCCAGCUCCGCUGCAGUGUUUGGUUCCACCUCGAUCCAUGACAUUUCUUCCAGCUUGCUUAGACUCCCGAUCCCCUGUGGCAUCUUCACAUCCGAUCCGACGAGUAGACUCUGAAGGUUUCUGAGCCGAGUGAUGCUUACUGGCAGCUGAGAAACAUAUGCAUGGCUCAAGUCCAACAUCUUCAGAUGUUGUAGGUUUCCAAUUUCUUCUAGCACCUCUUUCUGAAGAUAGCCACGUAGCUGCAGAUACCUCAAAUGGUGCAGGCGUCGUAGUUCCUUUGGAUGGUUGUUCUUCCGUGGGAAACCCUCCAAAUCCAAGGCACGGAGGAACUUGAACCUUGACAGAGGUGGCGCCCAGUUAAAAGCAUCGCCAAAUGCGAUUACUGACCUCACAUGGGAUAAGUCCACUGUUUCCGGCACACUCACUUCCACCUCAUUGUCUUGCAGCGACAAUCGACGAAUGUUAACCUCACUAUCUGUUGAGGUGGUGAAGUUCUGAGAAUCCAACCUUAACCCAAAAUUAUCCUCGACUGACAGAGAAAUCAGAAGGUCAAGUAUCAGAUCAUGUACGGAGCAAGCAUUCGGAAUGCCAUCUACACCAUCGAUGUCUAGUGGCUGGAUGAAGCUUCUAUUAACAAGCUCAAUGAAGUAUUUCUCUCCACGGUCAUACAACUCAUACAGAUUCCCCCCACCUUGUUCAUCCACAACAAGGCCUUCGGCUACCCAUCUCCUCACAAGGCUGUCUUUGUCAAUUCUGCAAUCCUCUGGGAAAAGGCUUAGAUACAGUAAACAAGGCCUCAGAUAGGAAGGAAGCUCAUAGUAACUGAGAGAUAAAAUAUCAUGCAUACGCUUUAUAUCAGUGUUAUCUUUCUCAAGUCCUGAACCAAGGGAUCUGUACACACGAUACCAUUCAUUUAUUGAUUUGGGUUUAGAAGCCAACAAACUCGCUGUAGUAAUGAUAGCUAAUGGUACCCCACCACAUUUCUUCAAAAUUCUCCCAGCUAUUUCAUCCAACUGAUUAUGAUUUCCGCCAUCUUUACCAAAUACCCUUUUGUAGAACAACCUCUUGGAGUCUGCGUUAGACAGAGGUUCGAGUUCAAACAAUGCACCAGCAACAGGAGUUGCGCACAGUUUUGCCACACGAAAAUUGCGGGUCGUCACAAUCACCCUGCUUCCACAGCUAUUGUCAACGAGAGCAUAUUCGAACAAUUUCCAUAUUUCCUCGUCCCAUACAUCAUCGAUAACAAUGAAGUACCUGCAGUUUUGUAGGGGUAUUAAAUGGAUGCAUGGACAAUUGACAUAAACGUUAGAUGUGUCCUUUGACCCGAAAGAAUCCGAGUCGGGAUCAGCCACACGUCCUUAAGGGCUUGUUCGGUUCUAUCUCAAUCCAUAUGGAUUGAGCCGAUUGAGGGUGUUUCAAUCCCUAGUAAGUCAAAAUCUAUCCUAAUCUGUAUCAAUUCCCUCCGAUCCAUAUGGAUUGAAAAUAACCGAACAAGCCCUAACGGGGGUGUAGAUUUCUCUAUGGUUAUGGCCCCCAAUUAAACACUAUACUCCCACCCACAUGACAAAGUUGACAGCGUCCACAACCAAUGUUUAUCUCGGUCUCGAAAGUUAUACCUCUCUCUUUCCACACCCAAAGCGCCCACUAGACUCAUCUAUUACUCCUUAACUCAAGAACAUAGAUGUAUUAGAGGGGAUCUGUAAGAUUCUAAGCGUCAAAAAGAAACUAUCAAUGAUAUCAGAGCUGGUUCACCGACCUCAACCUAACCCUAGUCUACAAGAAUCUAGAACAGAAGAAUGAAGAAACAAACUUAAGAUGAGAAGGGUGGUUCGAAUGAGUUUUUCCUAACCCUAGUUCUAACCCUAAUCCUCAAAAAACACCCAGAAGAGGGUGCAUAUUAUGAGUAGAAGAUAAGAACUCAAUAGAGAGGGGUCGGUGUGAUAUCCUGCCUCCGGUAGAUGGUGAUAUCAUGGUCUAAGGCUUAAUAGAAUUAAUAGAGUACUCAUACCAACAAGAUGCAUCUUCUUUUUUGAAAGCCUACCUCGAAAGAAUCUCUGGGUUAAGCGUGCUUGACCCAGAGCAAUCUUGUGCUUGGUCUGUGGGAUGAUAUAUGAUCUUAAACGCUGUUAGGAGUAAGUACCGCCGGUCCGGGAGUGGACGGGGUGUUACAAUAGGAUGGUUUGGGAUGGGUAUUUCCUAACCCUAACCUAGAAAACCCCACUCGAGCGAGAAAGAACACAAAGAAAGAACGAAGGACUUACUCGGGUCCCUUUUUUCGUGGCCAUCGGUGAGGUAGGGAGACAGACCACCACCGGAUGAGGAUGUCAUGGCCAAGCGCACCAUCACAAGACCACUCGAUGGCGGUGCGCUCACCUCACCUAGACCCUAACAAAUCUAAUCCGUUGAGACCCGAAAAUAUGAGUAAAGACUCAUCAGGAAGGAGGCACUCUAAUCCCCGAGAGAAUGCUGACAACGUCCACAACCAAUGUUCAUCUCGGUUCCACAUCUAUUCCCAGAACAGUAUCUCAUCAUCUUCAGUAGCUCUCAUGACCAACAACUGGUUCUUCACCGAAGUCGCAUUAACCACCAUGGUCGGGUCUUCACCUUUGAGGCAUGGAAUGAGCAGAGGUAUGGUUCUGUCACCCGUUGGGGUUUUCAUCUUAGGCUCAGGUUGGAGGGUAUCCCAAUGCACGCUUGGAAUGAGGAGGUGGUAGCUCUGAUCAUCGGCUCUCACUGUGCUACCCACUUUGUGGAGGAGUCUAGCUUUCGCACGAGAACUAGGACCUUUGAUUUGUGGGUGUGGUGCUCUGACCCUUGCUUGGUGCCAUGCGAGGCUUGGCUGACCAUCACUGAUCCAGACAGUGGGGUAGUUGUCCAUCCUGUGAGACCGGUUGGCAUCAAGCAUGGCCUGCUCUACAAGGUGCUUAUCCACAUGAAGGUAAUUGAAGAUCUCAAUUUUUCCCUGGGUGGUGGUGGGGGGCCUGGCAGGAAGCGUCACCGGGUGAUGGAGUGGCAUUAUGGCGUCCCUGACCACCUGGGGGAGCGUCGGGAGCGUGGGCGCCCAUUGGAGCGCGAAAACCGUUCUUUGCGCCAGGGAGGCGACGAUGACGACGAGCAGGACGGUCAUGGAGGUCGCCGUCACCGUAGUCGCUCUAUGUGGGAUCGAGUGUCCCGUUGCCGUGGUUCGAUCAAUGACUGCUACUCAUCCUCUCAUCGCCAGGGGGAGUGGUCUCGCACUCCUGCACAAUAUCGUCGCCAGCAUGCUGUUCAUCUUGCCUGGGGCCGAGGUGCUUUCAUGCCCAACUCCAAGCUGGUGUGGUGCCCCAAGUGUCUCUCUAAUAAGAAGGUCUCCUUUGCCGAGCCCUUGGUGCACUUUAUUGAGGAGAAGGCUGCAACACAGCCUUCUGAUAUUAGCAAGCAAGGUUUUGUUUCUGAUUUUUGUAUGCAUUUUAUUGGGGAUGCUGUUUUUAAUGUUUCAGACUGGGCUGACCCAAUGAUUGAUGAAGUCUCUUGUGGUUUGGAUGCUGCAGAUUCUCAGGCAGCUAGGGUGGCCAAGCUCGUGCAGGUGCUGCAGUCCACCCAACCAAUGGAGGACGUGGCGUCUCGUCCUAUGAGCACUGGACAGCUCUCUGCUCCUCCAUCGGAGGUACCUUCCAUCCCUAGCCUUGAUGAAUUUCUUAUGUCAAUCACUAGGCCGCUCCCAGAUCCAGUCCUAGGUAGCUGUCCAGUCCAAACAAAUCAGCAUGUCCCCCAGUUGACUGAUGCUGCCUCCAUUAAUACAACAACAGCUGAGGAGUCUUCUCCCUAUCCCUUUCAUAACCUUCCUACCGAAGAUCAAACUUGCAAUAAUAGUGCGCAGAAUUUACCUCUCACCCUGCAAACUGUAGAUCCCUCUUGCAUUAGACAGUCUAAUGGUGCUUUUGCUGGAAACCGCAGCUUUCGAGUCCCAUUCAACGCAAAAGCAGCAGGCUAGCAAAAAGGGCUAGGAAUAGAGUCGGCAAAGGAGCACUACAAAUAGCUGAAGAUCUUCUGGUCAAAAAAUUAAAUUCGACAUAUGAUCGCAAUGAACUAUCUGUAUUAUCUGAAAUUGAGGUUGUUGAACAACUUUCGCAGCACUUUGAUCGCCCACUGACCAAAGGCAAGGCGGAGGCAAUUAUUUCACCGACCAACCUCGGCAUGAAGGAGACGAACAAGAUGAAGAAAUCUACCAGGGCGACGGUGGCACCAGUCGAUGCAGUGGAAUUUGUGGUGUAAGGCCAUGUCAUUGGGCCAAUGGUGUGUGGUAGUAGUUUCCCCUAUGAUGUGUCUCCAAGGAAGUAUGUGUUCAUGGCUUAGUGUUCGGUGGUCUGUUAUUGCCAAUAGCGAGUGUUUGUGUCCUUUGUGUUUCUGGCUUUGGAUUUGGAUGGCCUGCUUUGUAUGGGGCUCCCCAGCCCGGCACGCCCCCCCUCUCCCUUCUUUGUAUGGCACCGUAGUUGGUAUUUUAUUUUCAAUGAAUAGAUCAGACUGCAAGAUUUUAUGCUGGAAUGUGCGUGGGUUGAAUGGUGCUGCAAGACGUGCCAGUGUGCGUAAUCUUAUUUCUUCCUCCGGGGCAUCUGUGGUGUGUUUGCAAGAAACAAAAAUCUCACAAUGGAAUGACUUCCUUCUGAAGGAAACUCUUGGUCAAGCUCUUGCCUCCCAGAUAGUGUGCCUUCCGGCCAACGGGACUACUGGGGGUGUCCUGAUUGCAGCCUCUAACCAGCACUUCUCACUUAAUCACUUGUACACUACAGAACACACAAAUUGGUCCAUCACGGGCGUGUACUGCCCCUAAUCCGACGAGGACAAAGUAAUUUUUCUUGCAGAAUUUGCUUCCAACAAGCUGCUUACCAACCCCGCGUGGAUUGCCUUAGGGGAUUUUAAUUUGAUUUGCUCAGCAAGUGAUAAGAAUAUGGGAAGGAUAAAUCAUAGGAUGAUCCAACGGUUUAAUCGCACUCUGGAUGAUCUACAAUUAAUUGAACUUUCGCUCAAUGGGAAACGUUUCACUUGGAGCAAUGGCCAUGACACCCCCACUAUGUCCAAGAUCGACCACUGCUUUGCCACUCUUGAAUGGUUGGAUCUGUUCCCACGUUCCAACCUUUAAGCGAUCGCCUCUCUCAUCUCAGACCAUUCACCACUAUUCCUUCAAGGGGACGCCAAUUUUGAUUUCUAUCGGGGUUUCAGGUUUGAGACUUUUUGGACAACAAUGCCGGGGUUCCUUGAUCUGGUGGAGCACAACUAGAAUCAGCCGGUUCACACCAGUGAUGCUAUUUUGAGAAUGCAUGUUAAAAUGCGACGUCUUGCAGUAGCCAUCAAAAUUUGGAAGUCCCAACAUUGUGGUAAUCUGCAAUUGCGACUGGCCUUUGUUCAAGUUGCGUUAUUGUGUUUAGAGAAGGCACAAGAAUUCAGACAGCUUAUUCCGCUAGAGUUGGAGCUUCUUCGUUUCUUGAAAAAUAAAUCGUUGGGCCUGGCUGCCAUGCAAAAGUCUAGAGCAAAGCAGCACUCUUGCUUAAAAUGGAUGCGUUUGGGGGACGCUAACUGAAAGGGAAUUAGGCUUACACCUAGUCCCUAAUUAAUUUUGGUGGUUGAAUUGCCCAACACAAAUAAUUGGACUAACUAGUUUGCCCAAGUGUAUAGAUUAUACAGGUGUAAAAGGUUCACACUCAGCCAAUAAAAAGACCAAGUUUUGGAUUCAACAAAGGAGCGAAGUGGGAACCGAAGGCCCUCUGGUCUGGGAGCACCGGACUGUCCGGUGUACACCGGACAGUGUCCGGUGCACCAGAGGACUCCAACGCCAACUCGCUACCUUCGGGAAUUUCCAGAGGCACUCGCGCUAUAAUUCACCGGACUGUCCGGUGUACACCGGACAGUGUCCGGUGCGCCAAGGAAGAUCAGCCUCAGGAACACGCCAGCUUCGGGAAACUCCAACGGCUAGUCCGCUAUAAUUCACCGGACUGUCUGGUGUGCACCGGACUGUCCGGUGCGACUCCGAAGCAACGGCUAUCUCCGCGCCAACGGCUACCUGCAGCGCAUUAAAUGCGCGCGCAGCGCGCGCAGAAGUCAGGCGCGCCCAUACUGGCACACCGGACAGCAAACAGUACCUGUCCGGUGUGCACCGGACACCCAGGCGGGCCCACAAGACAGAAGCUCCAACGGUCAGAAUCCAACGGCAGUGAUGACGUGGCGGGGGCACCGGACUGUCCGGUGUGCACCGGACUGUCCGGUGCGCCAUCGAACAGACAGCCUCCCAACGGCCACAUUUGGUGGUUGGGGCUAUAAAUACCCCAACCACCCCACCAUUCAUUGUAUCCAAGUUUUCCACUUCCCAACUACUACAAGAGCUCUAGCAUUCAAUUCUAGACACACCAAAGAGAUCAAAUCCUCUCCAAUUCCACUCAAGCCUUUAGUGACUAGCGAGAGAGAUUUGUCGUGUUCUUUUGAGCUCUUGCGCUUGGAUCGCUUUCUUUCUUUCUCACUUGCUCUUGUGAUCAAAACUCAAUUGUAACCAAGGCAAGAGGCACCAAUUGUGUGGUGGCCCUUGCGGGGAAGUUUUGUUCCCGUUUGAUUGAGAAGAAGAAAAGCUCACUCGGUCCGAGGGACCGUUUGAGAGAGGGAAGGGUUGAAAGAGACCCGGCCUUUGUGGCCUCCUCAACGGGGAGUAGGUUUGCGAGAACCGAACCUCGGUAAAACAAAUCCGCGUGUCUCACUUGUUUAUUCGCUUGCGAUUUGUUUUGCGCCCUCUCUCGCGGACUCGUUUAUAUUUCUAACGCUAACCCGGCUUGUAGUUGUGUUUAUAUUUGUAAAUUUCAGUUUCGCCCUAUUGACCCCCCCUCUAGGCGACUAUCAAUUGGUAUCGGAGCCCGGUGCUUCAUUAGAGCCUAACCGCUCGAAGUGAUGUCGGGAGAUCACGCCAAGAAGGAGAUGGAGACCGGCGAAAAGCCCACUACAAGCCACGAGAGCACUUCAUCGGAAGAGUCCCGCACCAAAAGGAGGGAGAAGAAGAAGAUCUCCUCCAACAAAGGGAAGGAGAAGAAAUCUUCUUCUCACCACAAAGAGAAGAAGGAAAAAUCUUCUUCCCACAAGCCGCAUCGAAGCGGGGACAAGCAAAAGAGGAUGAGGAAAGUGGUCUACUACGAGACCGACACUUCAUCAACAUCGACCUCCGACUCCGAUGCGCCCUCCGUAACUUCUAAACGCCAAGAGCGUAAGAAGUUUAGUAAGAUCCCCCUACACUACCCCCGCAUUUCUAAACAUGCACCUUUACUUUCCGUCCCAUUAGGCAAACCACCAACUUUUGAUGGUGAAGAUUAUGCUAGGUGGAGUGAUUUAAUGCGAUUUCAUCUAACCUCACUCCACAAAAGUAUAUGGGAUGUUGUUGAGUUUGGUGCACAGGUACCAUCCGUAGGGGACAAGGAUUAUGAUGAGGAUGAGGUGGCCCAAAUCGAGCACUUCAACUCUCAAGCGACAACAAUACUCCUCGCCUCUUUAAGUAGAGAGGAGUAUAACAAAGUUCAAGGGUUGAAGAGCGCCAAGGAGGUUUGGGAUGUACUCAAAACCGCGCACGAGGGAGAUGAGCUCACCAAAAUCACCAAGCGGGAAACGAUCGAGGGGAGCUCGGUCGGUUCCAGCUUCGCAAAGGGGAGGAGCCACAACACAUGUACAACCGACUCAAGACCUUGGUGAACCAAGUGCGCAACCUCGGGAGCGUAAAGUGGGAUGACCACGAAGUAGUUAAGGUUAUUCUAAGAUCUCUUAUUUUCCUUAACCCUACUCAAGUUCAAUUAAUUCAUGGUAAUCCAAGAUAUACUAAAAUGACCCCCGAGGAGGUAAUCGGGCAUUUUGUAAGUUUUGAGUGCAUGAUCGAAGGCUCGAGGAAGAUCAACGAGCUUGAUGAUCCAUCUACAUCCGAGGCUCAACCCGUCGCAUUCAAGGCGACGGAAGAAAAGAAGGAGGAGUCUACCCCAAGUCGACAACCAAUAGACGCCUCCAAGCUUGACAAUGAGGAGAUGGCGCUCGUCAUCAAGAGCUUCCGUCAAAUCCUCAAACAAAGGAGGGGGAAAGAUUACAAGUCCCGCUCCAAGAAGGUUUGCUACAAAUGUGGUAAGCCCGGUCAUUUUAUUGCUAAAUGUCCUAUAUCAAGUGACAGUGACCGAGGCGACGACAAGAAGGGGAGAAGAAAGGAGAAGAAGAGGUACUACAAGAAGAAGGGCGGCGAUGCCCAUGUUUGUCUGGAGUGGGACUCCGAUGAAAGCUCUAGCGACUCCUCCUCCGACGAGGACGCCGCCAACAUCGCCGUCACCAAGGGACUUCUCUUCCCCAACGUCGGCCACAAGUGCCUCAUGGCAAAGGACGGCAAGCGGAAGAAGGUUAAAUCUAACUCCUCCACUAAAUAUGAAUCUUCUAGUGACGAUAAUGCUAGUGAUGAGGAGGAUAAUUUACGUCCCCUUUUUGCCAACCUUAACAUAGCUCAAAAGGAAAAAUUAAAUGAAUUGGUUAGUGCUAUUCAUGAAAAGGAUGACCUUUUGGAUUCUCAAGAGGACCUCCUUAUUAAGGAAAAUAAAAAGCAUGUUAAGGUUAAAAAGGCUUAUGCUCUUGAAAUUGAGAAAUGUGAAAAACUAUCUAGUGAGCUAAGCACUUGCCAUGAGAUGAUUGACAACCUUAGACAUGAAAAUGCUAGUUUAAAUGCUAAGGUUGAUUCACAUGUUUGUAAUGUUUCAAUUCCCAGUCCUAGAGAUAAUAAUGAUGAUUUGCUUGCUAGGAUUGAAGAAUUGAACAUUUCUCUUGCUAGCCUUAGAAUUGAGAAUGAAAAAUUGCUUGCUAAGGCUAAAGAUUUUGAUGUUUGCAAUGCCACUAUUUCCGACCUUAGAAGUAAGAAUGAAAUAUUGCAUGCUAAGGUUGUAGAAAUAAAAUCUUGCAAACUCUCUACAUCUACCAUUGAGCAUGUCACUAUUUGUACUAGAUGUAGAGAUGUUGAUAUUAAUGAUAUUCAUGAUCAUAUGGCUUUAAUUAAACAACAAAAUGAUCAUAUAGCAAAACUAGAUGCUAAAAUUGCCGAGCACAACUUAGAAAAUGAGAAAUUUAAAUUUGCUCGUAGCAUGCUUUAUAAUGGGAGACGCCCGGGCAUCAAGGAUGGCAUUGGCUUCCAAAGGGGAGACAAUGUCAAAAUUAGUGCCCCUCCUAAGAGAUUGUCCAACUUUGUUAAGGGCAAGGCUCCCAUGCCUCAGGAUAACGAGGGUUACAUUUUAUACCCUGCCGGUUAUCCCGAGAGCAAAAUUAGGAGAAUUCAUUCUAGGAAGUCUCACCCCGGCCCUAAUCAUGCUUUUAUAUAUAAGGGUGAGACAUCUAGCUCUAGGCAACCAACCCGUGCUAAGUUGCCUAGAAAGAAAACUCCUAGUGCAUCAAAUGAUCAUAACAUUUCAUUUAAAACUUUUGAUGCAUCUUAUGUUUUAACUAACAAAUCCGGCAAAAUAGUUGCCAAAUAUGUUGGGGGCAAGCACAAGGGGUCAAAGACUUGUGUUUGGGUACCCAAAGUUCUUGUGUCUAAUGCCAAAGGACCCAAAACCAUUUGGGUACCUAAAAUCAAGAACUAAACUUGUCUUGUAGGUUUAUGCAUCCGGGGGCUCAAGUUGGAUACUCGACAGCGGGUGCACAAACCACAUGACAGGGGAGAAAAAGAUGUUCUCCUCAUAUGAGAAAAACCAAGAUCCCCAAAGAGCGAUCACAUUCGGGGAUGGAAAUCAAGGUUUGGUCAAAGGUUUGGGUAAAAUUACUAUUUCACCUGACCAUUCCAUUUCAAAUGUUUUUCUUGUUGAUUCAUUAGAUUACAAUUUGCUUUCUGUAUCUCAAUUAUGCAAAAUGGGCUACAACUGUCUAUUCACUGAUGUAGGUGUCACUGUCUUUAGAAGAAGUGAUGAUUCAGUAGCAUUUAAGGGAGUGUUAGAGGGUCAGCUAUACUUGGUAGAUUUUGAUAGAUCUAAACUCGACACUUGCUUAGUUGCUAAGACUAACAUGGGUUGGCUCUGGCAUCGCCGACUAGCCCAUGUUGGGAUGAAGAAUCUUCAUAAGCUUCUAAAGGGAGAACACAUUUUAGGAUUAACAAAUGUUCAUUUUGAGAAAGACAGGAUUUGUAGCGCAUGCCAGGCAGGAAAGCAAGUUGGAGCCCAUCAUCCGCAUAAGAACAUAAUGACGACCGACAGGCCACUAGAGCUCCUACACAUGGAUCUAUUCGGCCCGAUCGCUUACAUAAGCAUCGGCGGGAGUAAGUACUGUCUAGUUAUUGUGGAUGAUUAUUCUCGCUUCACUUGCGUAUUAUUUUUACAGGAAAAAUCUCAAACCCAAGAGACUUUAAAGGGAUUCUUGAGACGAGCCCAAAAUAAGUUCGGCUUAAGGAUCAAGAAAAUUAGAAGCGACAACGGGACGGAGUUCAAGAACUCUCAAAUCGAAGGCUUUCUUGAGGAGGAGGGCAUCAAGCAUGAGUUCUCUUCUCCCUACACGCCACAACAAAAUGGUGUAGUGGAGAGGAAGAAUAGAACUCUAUUGGACAUGGCAAGGACCAUGCUUGAUGAGUACAAGACUUCAGAUCGGUUUUGGGCCGAGGCGGUCAACACCGCUUGCUACGCCAUCAACCGGUUAUAUCUACACCGAAUCCUCAAGAAGACAUCAUAUGAACUCCUAACCGGUAAAAAGCCCAACAUCUCAUAUUUUAGAGUCUUUGGUAGCAAAUGCUUUAUUCUUGAUAAGAGAGGUAGAAAAUCUAAAUUUGCUCCUAAGACUGUAGAAGGCUUUUUACUUGGUUAUGACUCAAACACAAGGGCAUAUAGGGUCUUUAACAAGUCCACUGGACUAGUUGAAGUCUCAUGUGACGUUGUGUUUGAUGAAACUAACGGCUCUCAAGUAGAGCAAGUUGAUCUUGAUGAGAUAGGUGAAGAAGAGGCUCCAUGCAUCGCGCUAAGGAACAUGUCCAUUGGGGAUGUGUGUCCUAAGGAAUCCGAAGAACCUCCAAAUGCACAAGAUCAACCAUCCUCCUCCACACAAGCAUCUCCACCAACUCAAAAUGAGGAUGAGGCUCAAGUUGAUGAAGAAGAAGAUCAAUCAAAUGAGCCACCUCAAGAUGACGGCAUAGAUCAAGGGGGAGAUGCAAAUGAUCAAGACAAGGAGGAUGAAGAGCAACGGCCGCCACACCCAAGAGUCCACCAAGCAAUCCAACGAGAUCACCCCGUCGACACCAUCCUCGGCGACAUUCAUAAGGGGGUAACUACUAGAUCUCGUGUUGCCCAUUUUUGUGAACAUUACUCGUUUGUUUCCUCUAUUGAGCCACACAGGGUAGAGGAAGCACUCCAAGAUUCGGAUUGGGUGGCGGCGAUGCAAGAGGAGCUCAACAACUUCACUAGGAAUGAGGUAUGGCAUUUAGUUCCACGUCCUAAUCAAAAUGUUGUGGGAACCAAAUGGGUCUUCCGCAACAAGCAAGAUGAGCAUGGUGUGGUGACAAGGAACAAAGCUCGACUUGUGGCCAAGGGAUACUCCCAAGUCGAAGGUUUGGAUUUCGGUGAAACCUAUGCACCCGUAGCUAGGCUUGAGUCAAUUCGCAUAUUAUUAGCCUAUGCUACUUACCAUGGCUUUAAGCUUUAUCAAAUGGACGUGAAAAGUGCCUUCCUCAAUGGACCAAUCAAGGAAGAAGUCUAUGUUGAGCAACCUCCCGGCUUUGAAGACAGUGAGUAUCCUAACCAUGUCUAUAAGCUCUCUAAGGCGCUUUAUGGGCUCAAGCAAGCCCCAAGAGCAUGGUAUGAAUGCCUUAGAGAUUUUCUUAUUGCAAAUGGAUUCAAAGUCGGAAAGGCCGAUCCUACUCUAUUCACUAAAACACUUGAAAAUGAUUUGUUCGUAUGCCAAAUUUAUGUUGAUGAUAUUAUAUUUGGAUCCACUAACGAAUCUACAUGUGAAGAGUUUAGUAGGAUCAUGACACAAAAGUUCGAGAUGUCUAUGAUGGGGGAGUUGAAGUAUUUCCUAGGAUUUCAAGUGAAGAAACUCCAAGAGGGCACCUUCAUUAGCCAAACGAAAUACACUCAAGACAUUCUAAACAAGUUUGGGAUGAAGGAUGCCAAGCCCAUCAAGACACCCAUGGGAACAAAUGGGCAUCUCGACCUCGACACGGGAGGUAAGUCCGUGGAUCAAAAGGUAUACCGGUCGAUGAUAGGUUCUUUACUCUAUCUUUGUGCAUCUCGACCAGACAUUAUGCUUUCCGUAUGCAUGUGUGCAAGAUUCCAAUCCGACCCUAAGGAAGCUCACCUUACGGUCGUGAAACGAAUCUUGAGAUAUUUAGCUUAUACUCCUAAGUUUGGGCUUUGGUAUCCUAGGGGAUCCACAUUUGAUUUGAUUGGUUAUUCGGAUGUCGAUUGGGCAGGGUGCAAAAUCAAUAGGAAGAGCACAUCGAGGACUUGCCAGUUCUUGGGAAGAUCCUUGGUGUCUUGGGCUUCAAAGAAGCAAAAUUCGGUCGCUCUUUCUACCGCCGAAGCCGAGUAUAUUGCCGCAGGUCAUUGUUGCACGCAAUUGCUUUGGAUGAGGCAAACCCUGCGGGACUACGGUUACAAAUUAACCAAAGUCCCUUUGCUAUGUGAUAAUGAGAGUGCAAUCAAAAUGGCCGACAAUCCCGUCGAGCAUAGCCGCACUAAACACAUAGCCAUCCGGUAUCAUUUUCUUAGGGAUCACCAACAAAAAGGAGAUAUCGAGAUUUCAUACAUUAAUACUAAAGAUCAAUUAGCCGAUAUCUUUACCAAGCCUCUUGAUGAACAAUCUUUUAACAAACUCAGGCAUGAGCUCAAUAUUCUUGAUUCCCGCAAUUUCUUUUGUUAGAUUGCACACAUAGCUCAUUUGUAUACCUUUGAUCAUAUCCCUUCAUAUGCUAUGACUAAUGUGUUCUUCAAGUAAAUUUCAAGCAAGUCAUAGGAAUAUUGAAAGGGAAUUGGAGUCUUCGGCGAAGACAAAGGCUUCCACUACGUCACUCUUCCUUCGCCAUCACUCCAAGCAACUCUCCAUUCUUGGGGGAGAAAGCAUGAGCACCAAGUAAAAGGACUUCGUCUUUGGUAUAUUCUUAACUCAUUUAUUACCAAAGGGGAAGAAAGCACUUCAAGGGCUCUAAUGAUUCCGUUUUUGGCGAUUCAUGCCAAAAAGGGGGAGAAAUGAGCCCAAAGCAAAAGGACCGCCACACCACCAAUUUCAAAAACUCAGUAUUGAAUAUUUUUCAGUUGGUAUCCCAUUAUGUUCAAAAGGAAGAGAAAGUAGUAUUUCAAAAUGAUACAUCAAAACCCUCUUGAACACUAAGAGGAGGAUUUCACUUAGGGGGAGUUUUGUUUAGUCAAAGGAAAAGCAUUUGAAAUAGGGGGAGAAAAUUUCAAAUCUUGAAAAUGCUUUGCAAAAUCUUAUUCAUUUACCUUUGACUAUUUGCAAAUGAACUUUGAAAAGAAUUUACAAAAUAGUUUGCAAAAACAAAACAUGUGGUGCAAGCGUGGUCCAAAAUGUUAUAUAAGAAAGAAACAAUCCAUGCAUAUCUUGUAAAUAUUUAGAUUGGCUAAAUUCCAAGCAACCUUUACACUUACAUUAUGCAAACUAGUUCAAUUAUGCACUUCUAUAUUUGCUUUGUUUGUGUUGGCAUCAAUCACCAAAAAGGGGGAGAUUGAAAGGGAAUUAGGCUUACACCUAGUCCCUAAUUAAUUUUGGUGGUUGAAUUGCCCAACACAAAUAAUUGGACUAACUAGUUUGCCCAAGUGUAUAGAUUAUACAGGUGUAAAAGGUUCACACUCAGCCAAUAAAAAGACCAAGUUUUGGAUUCAACAAAGGAGCGAAGUGGGAACCAAAGGCCCUCUGGUCUGGGAGCACCAGACUGUCCGGUGUAUACCGGACAGUGUCCGGUGCACCACCGGACAGUGUCCGGUGCACCAGAGGACUCCAACGCCAACUCGCUACCUUCGGGAAUUUCCAGAGGCACUCGCGCUAUAAUUCACCGGACUGUCCGGUGUACACCGGACAGUGUCCGGUGCGCCAAGGAAGAUCAGCCUCAGGAACACGCCAGCUUCGGGAAACUCCAACGGCUAGUCCGCUAUAAUUCACCGGACUGUCCGGUGUGCACCGGACUGUCCGGUGCGACUCCGAAGCAACGGCUAUCUCCGCGCCAACGGCUACCUGCAGCGCAUUAAAUGCGCGCGCAGCGCGCGCAGAAGUCAGGCGCGCCCAUACUGGCACACCGGACAGCAAACAGUACCUGUCCGGUGUGCACCGGACACCCAGGCGGGCCCACAAGACAGAAGCUCCAACGGUCAGAAUCCAACGGCAGUGAUGACGUGGCGGGGGCACCGGACUGUCCGGUGCGCCAUCGAACAGACAGCCUCCCAACAACCACAUUUGGUGGUUGGGGCUAUAAAUACCCCAACCACCCCACCAUUCAUUGUAUCCAAGUUUUCCACUUCCCAACUACUACAAGAGCUCUAGCAUUCAAUUCUAGACACACCAAAGAGAUCAAAUCCUCUCCAAUUCCACUCAAGCCUUUAGUGACUAGCGAGAGAGAUUUGUCGUGUUCUUUUGAGCUCUUGCGCUUGGAUCGCUUUCUUUCUUUCUCACUUGCUCUUGUGAUCAAAACUCAAUUGUAACCAAGGCAAGAGGCACCAAUUGUGUGGUGGCCCUUGCGGGGAAGUUUUGUUCCCGUUUGAUUGAGAAGAAGAAAAGCUCACUCGGUCUGAGGGACCGUUUGAGAGAGGGAAGGGUUGAAAGAGACCCGACCUUUGUGGCCUCCUCAACGGGGAGUAGGUUUGCGAGAACCGAACCUCGGUAAAACAAAUCCGCGUGUCUCACUUGUUUAUUCGCUUGCGAUUUGUUUUGCGCCCUCUCUCGCGGACUCGUUUAUAUUUCUAACGCUAACCCAGCUUGUAGUUGUGUUUAUAUUUGUAAAUUUCAGUUUCGCCCUAUUCACCCCCCCUCUAGGCGACUAUCACUAACACUAGGUUUUUUCAUAUUCAUGCGAAUAUUAGGCGGAAAAAGAAUUUCAUCGGGGAGCUGCAUUCUAGCGCCGGUGUCGCUUUGAUCCAUACAGACAAGGAGGAGGUGGCUUUUCAGUAUUUUAAAAUUUUGCUAGGAUCUCACUCAACUAGGGAGCAGGCGUUGGACUGGUCUUUUCUUGGUUAUGAGGCUUCAGACUUGAGUGACUUAGAAACCCCCUUUUCUGAGGAUGAAAUAAACAAAGUUACUCGGGCAAUACCUUCCCAGAAAGCUCUAGGUCCUGAUGGCUACAUUGGAUUGUUCUAUAAAAAUGCUGGAGUAUUGUUAAGACAGAUUUGGUCAAUAUGCUCUCAUUGGAUUCUAUAAUCACCGCACUUCUAAGCUCCAUCUUGCGAAUGAAGCAAACAUUGUUCUCCUUCCAAAAAAAGAGGGGGCACACUGCCUAGCUGAUUUUAGGCCGAUUAGUUUGAUCAACAGCUUAGCGAAGGUUCUAACAAAGCUACUAGCAGAAAGAUUAGCACCUAGGCUUGAGCAGCUGGUGUCCAGAUCGCAGAAUGCCUUCAUCAAAGGGAGGAGUAUACAUGACAACUUUCUAUAUGUACAGAGAGUCAUCCAAAAAUUGCACAAGAAUAAAUGCGAAGCACUUUUCAUCAAGCUUGAUAUUUCCAAGGCGUUCGAUUUUGUCAGCUGGGCUUACUUGUUAGAAGUCCUUGCGAUUCUUGGCUUCGGUGCAAAAUGGAGAAAUUGGAUUGCUACUCUCCUCGCUUCAUCAUCUUCUCGUGUGCUUAUGAAUGGAAAGCCGGGUAGGAGAAUUACCCAUUUGAGGGGACUCCGGCAAGGUGACCCCUUGUCCCCUAUGCUCUUUAUUCUUGCCAUCGAUCCUUUUCAAAGAAUUAUUGAGCGGGCGAUCCAUUCAGGAAUCCUUUCGCAAAUCGUUCCACGACCGACAACCCUUAAUUGCUCUUUGUACGCUGACGAUGCAGGUAUUUUUGUCAAACCAGUUGAGGCCGAGCUCGGCGUCCUCCAAAGUAUCCUGCAAACUUUCAAUCGUUGCUCGGGGCUUAAGUUUAAUCUUAAUAAGACGGAAAUUUUCCCCAUCCGUUGUCAUGCAGAUGUGGUCGAGUCUUUGCCCAUGUGGUUCCUGGGGAAGUUGGCAUCAUUCCCGAGUAGAUAUCUUGGGCUCCCCCUGCAUUUGAGAAACCUCCGAAAAAUUGAUGUGUAGCCACUGUUAGACAAGGUGCGAGCCAGACUUUCGGGAUGAAAAAGGAAACUAUUAUCUAAGGCCGGACGAUUGACUUUGGUUAAAACUGUGCUAUCAGCUCAGCCGAUUUACCACUUGACUGUGUUCCCAGAACAGAGGUGGAUUUUCAAGCAAAUUGACAAAAUUCGUCGUAGUUUCUUGUGGAAGGGAGAGGAACCAGAAAAUAUUUCUGGGGGCACUGCCUUGUCAGGUGGCCGUUAGUGAAGCGCCCUUUGAACCUAGGUGGUUUGGGAAUCGUCGAUCUGGAGCGUUUUGCAAGAGCUUUACGGCUUCGUUGGCUUUGGUUUGAAUGGAAAAAUCAAGAAAGAGCUUGGGUCGGUUUGGACAUUCCCUGUAGCAAGGUUGAUCGGGAUCUCUUUCAUGCGUCUACAGUGGUGACAGUGGGCAAUGGGGUUAAAGCCUCUUUUUGGCAUUCGUGUUGAAUCGAUGGCACGUCGGCACGAUUGAUAGCUCCCACGCUCUUUGCCAAGUCCUCACGGAAGAAUAUUUCAGUUCUAAAAGCCACAACAAAUAAUAGAUGGAUCUCCCACAUUUCUCCAGUUGUUGGGGCCAAGGAAAUUAGAGAGUUCGUGGCUCUUUGGGAUGCUCUGUGCGAGGUGCAACUAAAUCCAGGGAUUGAGGACGCCAUUUACUGGCGCUGGACCAAUGAUGGUGCCUACUCAACCAAGAGUGCCUAUUUGGCCCAGUUCAUUGGAGGGUAAUGCCAAGUGCAAUCUACUACCAAUUUGGAAGGCGAAAGUGGAGCCAAAAUGUCGUUUCUUCGCGUGGACUCUACUGCAUAAUAAGAUCUUAACAGCUGAAAAUCUCCAGAAAAGAGGUUGGAGUAAUGAUCCGAUCUGCAGACUUUGCAAACAAGAACCAGAAGCUAUAACCCACUUGUUCCAAAACUGUAUCUUCACUAGGGCGGUGUGGGUGCAGCUUUCUCAUUGGCUUGACCUCGCGUUGCUGCCAGGGAUGGCACAAUCUUCGUCAAUAUACACUUGGUGGAAUAAGUGCAGAGCCAAAGUCGAUAAAUGCUCAAGGAGAGAGUUUGAUGGUUUGAUCAUCCUUUUUUGGUGAGAGAUUUGGAAAGAGCGGAACCGCAGAACCUUCCAAAGCCUAGAGAAGUCGGAGUGUGUGAUUGCAGGGUUAAUCAAGGAUGUUUUUAGGCAGCAAAGAGUUGCUAAUUCUUUUGACUUUGGUUGCUAGGGUCUCUGCAUAGCGUUCUUUAUCCUUUUUUCUUUCUAGAGUACUUGGGUGGCUUUUUCGGAGGCUGUUUGGCUAGUUAAGUGUCUGUAAGUGUUCUCUUUUUCCUCUUAAUAAAGUUUGAACAUGACAAUUCUCUUGCCGCGUCUUUCAGAAAAAAAGAAUAGAGACGAGUUAGAGGGGAUCAGCGAAAGAAACUGUCAAGAAAGACUUGGGCUAUAACGAGAUGUAGUACAAUCAAAUUUAAAACCAUGUGUAUUCUAUGGAUUGACGAAGCGCCUAAGGCACUCAUGAAUGCAGUCUCAAAAUUAUGAGAAAUUUGCUGUUUUGCCACUCUCAAAUUUGGCUGCCUGUUAUUAUGUCAUCCCGUGUCUAUGACUGGUGGGACCGUCUGUGUCUAUGAUUUGUGGGUCCGAUGACAUACUGGCGAAGCCCACAAAUGAUAAUGGCAAAAUUGCCAAUGGCUCCAAAAUUAUUGGGUUGAAGAUCUACACAGACUACAUCAUCCACCGCGAAGCAGGUAUGAUACAUUCAUCUGAGUUUUGUUAGAUCUAGUGGUUAGGGGUUCUAGGAAUUAUAUCCAGAACAUGUUUAAGAAUCAACAAAAAUAUCUGUAGCAUGAAACAGCAGAUGGAUCGAUAUAGGACUAACGAGUACUGGUGAGAGUAGAAUAGAUUGAGAGAGAGGGAGAGAGAACGCAAAGUAAGUACCUCUUGUCGCUGAGGUAUUUCCUGAUAUCCCGUAUCAGUUCGUCGACAUCUUUUUCUCCGUCGUUGUUGUUACCCCUGGCGGCCGGCCUGACCUGACGCAGUAUUCUCUUGAAGAUGCUCUUUUUGUCUGGCCUCAGUGAUACGGGGAUAAAAGCCUUGCACUGGAAUUGUGUCUCGAGGCUUUCAUACAACGCCUUAGCAAGCGUGGUUUUGCCAACACCUCCUAGCCCAACAAUUGAGACGACCAUAAGGUUCUGCUGCAGCCCCUCCCUGUGCGUCGUCAGCAAGCUGGCAAGCCUCUGUGCGGGGCCGUCGAUGCCGACGGGGCUGUGCCUGUGCUUGUGCACAUCCUCGAGGAGAAGGUGGAUCCCGGUGUCGACGUUAGCCUUUGUGUGAGGCUGUGCCGUGGCGCCGGGAAUGGUGAGCCUUCCCUUCCAUGCAGCCACCUCUUUGACGCGGGUCGUGAUGUCUUCGAGCUCCUUGGCGAUCCGGCGACGAACCUUGGCCACUUUUACCGACUUGAUGUUGCCAAUGAGGCCCAUCCUGUCGAUGAACCUGCUGAAACCAGUCAGGUUGCGCGGAUUCGCGUGAGCAUCGCCGCCGUCCACACGCAGCAUGAACGCGUCCACGCUGUCCUCUAUGUCGUACGAUAGCUCCUUCAAACUCCUCGCCCACCGCUUCUGGAAAGGGGUCACGGAACCUGCUGGCUUCUCGGACAACUCCUCGAGGACAUCCUGCAUACCCUUCAGCUCCUUCGUGAGGAACACAAUCUGCCCUCUCACGCCCUUCUGAAGAUGGUACUCUUUCUUCAAAAGGGAAACGAGCUUGACGAGGAGACACUUCACUGCCGCCUCAGCGAGCUCCAUAGAUGCCCGCUCCGGCGCUCCCUCCCCUGGAGGCCUGGACUAGCUUGUGGCUACUUGAUUUCCAUCGGCUGCACCCGGUACGGUGCUCUAUUUAUGUUUUGGGACCGUAUCGUAUGCACAAGGACAGGUCUGCGCACAUAUGCACAUGCGCGAUCGUGGCCUUUCAACGUUGAUCCGACGGUGACCCAAACUUUUACAUUUUAACCCUCCCGCAGCUGUCUUGUGCUGUAAUUUUGUUUUUCAAACACCCCCUUCCCACUUCCCACGUUCGUUGGCAGACAGCGAAGCAUCGCCUGUACUCUGUAGGCUGUAGCUGCCGCCACUUCUCGUCGUCGUCUCAGCAUCUUCACUCACCAAACGUCGUCGCCUAAUGCCGUGGGGCUCGAGGUUUCUGCAGAAUGGUAGCACCGCAAACGGCAUGCCCUAGCCAUGGUGGCUUCAUGACGGGUUUAGGGUUCCAGCCGAGUGCGAUGGCCGUCAUGGUGGCCGAAAACCUUAGCACCUCGUCGAGGUGUCCUACGGCAUUUGUCAAAGGAGUAGUGUCGGAGGGUGGUGAGGACGCAGGAGGCCACCGGCGAGGCCACAGGCGGUGAGGAGUGAGGACGAGCGAAGACGGGGUUGUUGGCGUGCUUCAAUCUGGGGAAGAAGGGGAGCAGAGGUGUUUGCAAAAAAUUGCACUGAAAUGACAGCUGCGGAAGGGUUAAAGUGUAAAAAAUUUGGCGACCGUUCGAUUGAUAUUGAAGGACUAGGAUUGCUCAUGUGCAUAUGUGCAUAGACCUGUCUAUGUGCAUACGAUACGGUCCCGUAUGUUUUUGGGAGUGAUGGGUAAGGACGACGACUCUCGCGGUCGUGCCCGUUCACACCCGCCCACGUUAAUCAAAUUAUCCCUCGCGGAGCGCAAGGGAUUUUUUUUUUAUUUUAUUAUAUAUAUAUAUAUAUAUAUAUAUAUAUAUAUAUAUAUAUAUAUAUAUAUAUAUAUAUAUAUAUAUACUAGGUAAAUGCCCGUACGUUGCUACGGAAGAACAUAUUAUGAUAAAAUAUAUUAAAAUUCACAGAAUAAGACAAGCAUCGAAUUAAUUGAGCCAAUGCCAGUUUGAGCAUUCCACAGAAUAAGAUAAGCAUCAUCGCCCACACUACAAAAUUCCUAUGCACUUCAUUCCUCAAAACAAAAAAACAAUAUAGGGUAUUAAUAUAAAUAAAAAUGAAAAUAAGGCAUCUAUCAACAUAUACCUUUAUAGAGAAGACCACUGAUCCUAGUUUAAUUGACAAUAACAUCAUUAAACAAAUAGAGUGUUUUAACAACGAAAAUCUAAAGAUUGGAGUACAUAUCUGCUUACAUGUGUCCAUUGUGUGUUCUAUUUGGAUAGAAAAGGCAUUUAACACAAACAUGGAACUAAACAAAAGGAAUGCAUGCGCUAACUUCUCAUGUUGCUCUCUACAUGUUCGUCUCCAAGGAGAAGCCUUGCACCUUCGUCAAAGUGAGAUUGUCUCAACCUGCACAAAAUACAAGCCCCAUUAUAGUUAAGUGCGAAAGAGAAAUAACCAUAACCACACAGUGUGAAUUUAGUCCUCUAACCUUCAUGGUGAAGAAGAGCUUGACAAAAUUCUGGGUGAGGAGCCCAAGGGACUUUUCCUUCACAGAUGUCAGUUUUCUACAGAAAUUCAUAUAAAUUUGGGCCAAGUUUCUCACAAACCUGUUCAUUCAUUGAAAUUUAUUGAUUGAUUUCACCCCAAUGUCUACUUGACAGGUUGGGGAAAAUUCUAAAAAUCAUGCAUUAUACUUACAAUACAAAUAUGGCUACGAUAAUCAAACCACUUCCGUAUUUGAACACAACUGCAAAAACACAUGAGCAUGUAAUUUCCCACCAUUACAGCAGCAACAUAGUUUUUUAAGAAAUCCCACGAUUUAAUGCACAUAACUUAUUUCUUUGUUUUCAUAAUGGCGACAAGUAAAUGUAUAGCUUAUUGUUUGCCUGCAAAAACUUAAUCAGUUUAACCAAUUACUAAGCUAAUCAAUCACACAAGUAGUCAAACACAAUUGUGCCAGAAGAGUGAAUGUACAAUGAACAUUAACAAUAGAAGCAUAAACAGCUUUGAAGGUAAAAACAACAGUAAUUGUGCAAAUGACAUACUGGUACAUGUAUCCAUUAAGUCCAAGAUUAUAUCACACAAAUACAAAGAGCAGUCUAAAUUUGCUACCCAAAAGAUUGGAAAACCAGCAAUAGUUAUGCAAAUUAUCAAGCUAACAUCAAGGGCACUGUUUACCUUGUUCUAAAAUGUUGUUCUGGCCUGUUGCAAUCAAACUACAUUCUUUUUAUCAACUAUUGAUGUUCCUUGAACCAGAUUUAGCUAGCUGGUCUACAAGGACGUGGAUUAAUUAACCUACAGACUUCAGUUUUCCCAUAAUAUAUACUCAAUUGUUGUUCAUCUAGAUUUACAUAUAUUGGUGAAAAAAUCCCAUGAAUAACACAUGGACAUGUCUAAUGGGUUAGGUCAGAUUGUGUAGCUUUGAAAGAUUUGGCAAUUGGCACAACCCACAACAAAGUAAAAAUUCACUUUCCAAAACCAUUAUAUGCAUCUGCAACAACUCUCAAUGUAAGUUGAAGACCAAGAGAAAAGCUAUAUGACAUCAUUACUGCAACACUCAAGCAAGUGGCAAUUUCAUGAGAUUGCACUAUAGUCCCAAGCAGAAAACUCAUGCUUUUAUGGACAAUUGUUGGAGGCUAAUAGUGAUUAACGAUCAUCUAAGCCACUAUAAUAAUGACCUACAUUACAAGACCACAAGUAAUAUAUGGACUCAUGAAGAAUAAUAACUGACAAACUUACUUGAAUAAAAGCAUCCUGUGGAGUCUCACACUCUGCUGCCACAAAAACAAACACCUAAAAGCAUGCAAUAAAAGCAAAGUUAAGCAACAAUAUUUUAAAGUUUCGCUUGAACAACACAAUAAAAAAGGUUCAUAAGAGAUUCAGUUGCACUGAUGUAUCAAGAUAGACUAAAAUUUUCUAAUGAAAAACCAUUCUGCAAAUUGAGAACACUCUAAUACAGUUACCCAAAACUCAGGUUUAAAUUCUCAUUCGCUAAAAGACCCGAACAUUAACGAGAGGUACCUCCUCUGCUCGGGGAUUCCUUAUUUUCAGUGUUAACAUUGUACAUCAAGAUAAAAUCACACUUUAUUGUGCAGUAAAAAUUAGUGGAAACCAGGAACGACGACCAUGAAGGAAAUGGUCUGAAGUGCCAGAAAUACGUGUUUACCUGUUUUGUGUCCCACGUCAAAAGAGGUGAAAGGUAGGCCAAAAUGUUCAGCGUCAUGCUAACCUGAAGAACAAUACAACAAUUAAUGGUUACAAAUUCGAGGCACAUAUCUUAAACAAGUAGCCUAAUUUAAUUGUCCAUGCAAUUUUGUGCCACACACAAUGCUUUAGAAAUCUUAAUUGCAGAUACAUUAUGCAAAGAAUAUUUCAGAAAAAAAUACAUGUAUAGCUGUGCCCCCAAAGAUGAUACUAUAGAAAAGUUUGAACCCUCUUCUAUUCUUGAGCAACCCUUCAUUCAGGAAUGACAGGUCGAGUCCUUCAACAUGAACAAACCUUUGAUAGUUCAUCACCAAAUAUACAAACUAUUGUAGCACCAUUCCAAAUAACAGUUCAUCACACUAAAAAUGGAUGAUUUAGACAGUUCAAAUUAUAAUCAUGCUAAACUAACGGUUUUAGGAACUUUGAUGCCUUGUCCCUCUUCUGGAGUCUAUAUGCUAAACUAACGGGUUUAGACAGUUCAAAUAAACCAUACAUGUUGUAUAAACAAAACUAACUCAUAGUAUGUCUAAAAUGGCAUAUGCAUCUUGAAUUCCGCACCUCACAUAGUUAAAGUUGAUGUGGUAAAGAAAAAAAUUAAACCGAUAAGUUUCAAAAAAGUAGAUACUCCCUCAUGUUCUGCAUAUAUGAUGUUGGGACAAGUAGUUAGUUUAAAAACACAUCAUAUAGUUAAAAAUCAAGAGAGUAAAAAUCAAGAGGGGUGGCGCCGUGGAGGUAUGGGAUAUAUCUGCGUCGAGGCAAAGAGAGGGGUGGCGCUGCAGAGGUAUAGGAUGGAUCUGGAUCUAGGCAGAGAGAAGGAGAGGUGACCUGUAGAUCUCCACAAGCACCUUCUCGUGGUACUCCUUGAGCCACGCUGCCCGCGCGAAGGCCGCCACCAUCCCGUGGCUGCAGGAGAAUCUGAAAAAACUGUAACCUAAUGAAUAAUAAAUACAAUCAUAUAAGUAUUCCAUGGAAAGUUUAUACUCCAAGUGAUAGACAGUAAAUUAAUACUUGAAUUUAGACUACUCAAAAGUAUAAAGAUGUGAACUUGAGUACCAUGUCAGUGGAAAACGAAAAAGGGCCGAAGGGCUGAAAAUUUAAUGCAUAGUUCUAUUUAUGGCUUCGUAGUAUGAUAUGUACCAUCAAAUUCAGUUAUGAUUUACUUUGCCAUAGGUUUCAAUGUAAUUAAGAAUUAAAUCUUAGAAAAACAAUACAAUUAUAAAUAACAGGACUGCUCAGGAACUAAAUAUAAAUUCUGGACGGAUACAUCCUCAGUGGUAGACAAUAUAAGGAACAGGGAGUGGUAAACAUACUCAGUUAAACAAGAACAUCUCAAGAUGUUUUGUGUUUUAGAACAGACAAGUACCUCUUGACAAUUUCAUCAGAACAGAGAUGACUACCUCUUGACAAUCAAGAAUAAGUAUCAAGUGAUGACAGACUUGUAGGAUAAGCAUUACAACACACAACAAGGCGUUCCUAUUUUCAGACAGCCAAGAACAGAGAUGACCACCUCACGAUAAUCAGGAGUUUAGUAUUAGGUGAUGAUAUCAACUUGUAGAGUAAGCAUGUAUCCAUUAUAUGUUAAAACUACAAGCUGCAGCCCCAAUUCUUCAAAAUUGGAGAACAGCUGCUCUUUCUAUGAACUAAAGAUUGUUACUUGGAAGAUGAAUUGAAAACUACACAAACCUCUACUUUUUCUUGGAGUCAUAUAUAAUUUGUGGCCAGACCAUGCAAAAAAUCCACUUCAAGAGCAAAAGCAAAGACAAAAAAAAUAGCGCUAUUUAUUCUGCUAGAUCUUAUGUUCAAUACAAAUCAAUCUUAUAUUUAAAAAUUGAGGUAGUUUCAGAGUUAAGGCAGUAAAGGUACCUUCGGGUCUUGCACCACAAGAAGAGCUGCCCUGUCACAAGUCAGCUCUGCAGCUCGUAGCCAUCUAUAUAGCUGCUCUUCCAGAAAGCCAGCAACCAUGCCGAAACCUGAUAAAAGUGCAUGUACUUACCAUGAGAUGUAGUUCAAAUGAAGUGUAUUUAGGUACAUAGCCCACCAAUCUAAUGAGAGUUCAAGUAGUCAGAUGGUCUACCAGGGACAGUGUAUGCUCCCAUUGUGAGUAUAUUGGCAAAAGUGAGCCAAACACCAUGAUCGCACUUGAGGUGACCCAGCUCAUGAGCCAAAACAGCCUAAUUGAAACAAAUCCAAUAUGAUGAGUAAUCAAUGCAUUCAGGCAGUAGGUAAGCAAAUAAUAAUUCUUGUUUUGAUUGUUCAUCUAAGCAAUACCAGCCGAUGAGUUUGUUUAGAGUAAACAACAGUACCUGCAAUUCCCUUGGAGUAAGCAGCUCCACAAGGCUUGUGUGAACGACAAUGAAUGGUUUUUUGUCGUUGAUUGCUAAGGUGUAGGCAUUUGGAACAGGAUUCUGCCUUAUGUACAAGUCAGGAGCUUCGGUGUUCAAGAGCUGCAAACAUAUAAGAAAACGAUAUACAACAUCAAAGAGCCAGCUAUGUCCAUACACUCCAAUCUAUAUCAGAACAGAACCCUUAAGUCUUAAACCAAUAAGUGCCUAACAAUCGAAUAGGUCGCAACUCCCAAUGCAGUGGUCCAACAGUCAUAUCGAAUGUACCAAAACAGCAUAACAAAUGAGCACCUAUAGUUAGUGAAAUGAUCUUAGUUUGUUUUGUUAGUUUAAAUAUUUUCAAAAUUAAGAGAAAAUAGUAUUGUUAAGUUGUAUGUGUUCAGAAUUGAUAGUAUAACUGAAAAUCUGGAAAAAAAAUCAACAGUGAAGUAUCUCAGACUAAGUGUCUUUAUAUUUCACAUGCCAAGUAGGUUACAAAAAAAUAAUUUAACAUUUAGUUUUUAUAAAUCGCUUCACCAUUACAGUGGGAUCGAGACCUUUGAGAUCUUGAUAAUGAUCGUCUUGUGUUCUUCCGUUCAUGUACCUACCACUACAUCAAUGAAAGCACAAAUUUAUUUCUUUUUAGUUUUUCAAGUAUAAGUUUACAAAAUGUUCGGAUCUGAACCAAUAGAGUAUAGUAUAAUAAACAUUUGUAGAACAAGCCUCACAAGCAAAAUAAAAAAAUGACGAUCCAAAAAAAAGUCAAGUGUCCGUGCGGUUUUUAGGGCUCGAUUAAUUAGGAAUUUCAUGGCAAGGAACUUAAAGAUGUGGUUUUUGAUGACCUGGAGAACAUAAACCAAAGAUAUGACAUUAACUACUACACAUUAUCAAAGUAUAACCCCUUGUUAAGGCUACAACAACACCACAAUACACACACGUACAUGAUAAGGAAGUACAUAACACAUUAUAUGUCUAAAGUUUGGGUCACUUGUCCUCUAUUCACGAUAAGAAAGUGCAGAACACAUAAUAUGUCUAAGUUUGGGUCACUUAUCCUCGAUUCACCAUAUCAUCUAACUAUGGAAAGAAAAAGAGCAACCAAUCACACAUCCAUACAUGAGAACAACUUUAAUCUGCUAUUGUUUUUUAACCAUGGGAAAUCUUUUUGGUAUAUAUGAGCUGAAACAUCAAUCGGAAAAGGACAAUAAACCUGCAGAUACUUCUACUGACAAGACUGUCACAAGUAUGUUUCUGUUUUUUAUAGAUAAAUAUAAAUUAAUAGCUGGAAGGUCGGCAUCAUCCAAGCAGUCCAUUAUGGCAUAGCAACAGAGCAUAUGGGCUUCAAUGACAAAAAAAUACAAGUGCCAAGAAGUAUCUCAAAAUCUCGUGUGAAAUUAGAGCAUGGUAGCCUAUGCAAACAUAAGUACAAAUAGAGUUCUGAACUGAAAUCAAUAAAUGGAUCAUCAAAUGCAAAAUAAAAAUGGUUCCUAAAAUAUCAAGACAAUUCUGAAAAUUGCCCCAAGGGAGGAUAUGCCACUCUGUGCUAUCUAUGCGGUCGCUUUUGAUCCAUCAAAAGCAUGUGACUGACGAUGAUCCCCGAACAAAGCCACGAAAAUGAUAGGAUUCCAGAGAUUGUUACCGGCGGGGCGGGCUGUGUAACACCCAAAUUCUGAAUUUAGAAUUGGUAAAAGAAAUCUGAACAAAGUAUCAUUGGGAAAUAAGAAAAAUGAGGAGAAAAAGAAUUUUUCUUUUAAAGGAAACCAUUUAUACAUCUCAUGAAAUAAAUAAACAAGGAGAAUAAAACUUAAACUAGUAAUAAUAAAAUAGUAUGGUUUAUAUUCACCCUUGGAUUUCAAUUGAUACAUUUGAAAAAUCUGAAAACUAAAAUAGAAGUAUAAAUUUGAAUUUGGAAAAGAAAAUAGAAAAUAAAAAGAAAAGGAAUUCUAACCUAACUGGGCCGGUAACCCUGUUUUCGGCCCAUUUAUCUUCGUGACCGCGCGGCCCGCUCGCUCUCUGCGCUUUGCUCUCCACGCCGACAGGUGGGCCUGUGCCGUCGGUGGCUCAGCCGCGCCUGAGCACUCCCUCUCUCGCUGACGAGGCGGGACCCACUGCUCAGGUUCGUCUUCUUCACCUGCCCACGACCGUCAGUCCAAUCACCCGCGUCGCGCGUCCAUCGCCGUGGAGAUCGGGUCGUUGCGGAUCCUCGCGAUUCUUGAGCUCGGACUCGCCCCAGCCCCUGCUCACCACGCUCGCGUCCGCACCAAGGACUCCAUGGCCUGGAAUUUCGCAACAGACUUGCGCGCGCGAGGGGGAAUCGCACCAAUUCCGCCGACGGUCUCGGCCUCCUCUCGCGCGGACUUAUCCCUCCCUCCGGGCUAUAAAACUCGAGCGCCCGUGACCCUGAGCCAUAGCCUUUGCAAGCCGGACACCAAGGUGAGAAAUCGCGUAGUCAUCGCCGAGCGAAAAGCACCGUAGAGCGCCGCCGCCGAGGAUAGCUGUCGUUGGGGGGUCUCGGCUCUCGAAAUCGAGUCGUGGAGUGUCGCCUUCACCUGGGGAAGCCGUCUGUGCCCUCGAUUUGGGUCGAACGCCGCCAAGACUCGAGCAAUCGCUCGUCGCACUUCGGUUCUCCGCCGUGGGCCGCGCGACACCGUGGCCAGCCGCGGUCAUCGCUUCAAUCACUGGUACGUCAACUCCUUGUUGUUCGUUAGGGCCCGGACAUUGUCUAGCGCCGUUUAAUUUGAAUUUGGGGCGGUGGUGCGCCGGAUUGAGCUCCCUCCGGCGGGGUCGCCGCCGCGCGCGGGUUCCUGGGGAUCGGGUGUUAGCGAGGGGAUGAAGAAGGUGCCUCGGCCGUUGGAUCUGGGGUCGGUGGCUGCGAUUAGGUGUUGGGUCCCGAAGGGGGGGUGUUCUGCGCGGAACCUUUGGAUCAAGAUCGUGUGGCCCGGAGCUGAUCCGGCUUCAUUAAAUCCGAACCGUUCAUUUAUGAUCUGAGGGAUCCGAGCGCAUACCGCUUCGCGGAUGGCUCCGUCUAAUCUGAUCCGUUGGGAACGGAUCGGACGGCUGAGAAUAUUUGAUACCCGUUCGGUUUGGGAUAAUUGCAAAAGAGCCCCUCGGUUUUCACAUAAUAAACCCGCCGUCCAUGUGCACUGUUGACUGAGUCUCGGUAAUCUUGCGAAAGAGUCCCUGCGCUUUGCUGUAAUUGUGGCCCAGUCCAGUGCAGCAUUAAAGUGAUUAAAUGAAUUAGAAAUUUGAUUUUUAAUACAAAAAUAAUUGCUAGAACUUAGAUAAUUCAUAGAAAAUUCAUUUUAGCUCCUUUUUGACCCAUUCCAGUUGCAAUAAUUUUAUUUUAAUAUUAUUUAUCACCUAGUACCUUUGUUUAGCCAAGAAACUUGAAGCAAAAUUGUUCAUUUGAAUUACUCUGUUCUAGGUGCUUAAUAACUUCAGAAAUUCAUAACUUGAAUUCUAUAACUCCAAAUUCAGUAAUUCUUGUUCCUGUGAUCUUAGUUCAACAUGUAGAUUAUUAAUAUGUAUUUUGCAUAUAUGUUUGGUGUAAUGUUAAUUCUGUCUAUACACUGUUUGUUUGUAAUGCUACGACUAGCAGUGAGGUCACGUGUCACCUGAAGAUCAUCCUGGUACCUGGAAUCUCAAGGCCCAGGCAAGUUGUGCCCUUGAUCACUUCUUUUUACCUACUCAUGUUCUAAUUAAUCAUAAUGAUCUGCAUAGGUUAAUUUUGAUGGGACCCAAUAGGUUACCCUAGUUUGUCUAUCUUUAUACCUUGUUUACCACUGAACUUUCUGGGUAGUACUUGCUAGUGCUAUAUGUGGUUUUGGGUAUGGAGAUACACUAUCCAUGGUUACAUUUUUGUUAUCAGUUGUUAUUUAUUGUUCAUGUUAAGAUCAUUAUGUUAAUUGGAACAUGGAGAACCACCCGGGAAAACAGUGCUACCACAGGGGUUUAAUGGGACGCCCUUGGCUGAUUAAUUAGGAAAGCUAGUGGAAGACUACCUUACCCGAAAGGGGCAAGGGCAGUAGGGGAGAGGUCAGUGCGGGAAGUGCCCUCGGGAGGAUUUUGCUGCGAUGGCGGUCCUGCAAGGGAUUCCUGUACUGGAUCUUCCUAUAAACUGUAGCGGGUUUUCGGAAGCUAGUGGAACUUUGUAAAGGCCUCGUAGUGGAUCCCUAGCCAUUCACCUCGGAAGUGUCUAAGGGCUUUGCAAACCCUGGCGACAUGGGAUACACGACUUGUGGGUAAAGAUGCGCAACCUCUGCAGAGUGUAAAACUGGUAUACUAGCCGUGCUCACGGUCAUGAGCGGCUCGGACACUCACAUGAUUAAUUUAUGGAACUAAACUCAAUUUGUCAUAUGCAUUGCAUUGCAGGUGAUGUGGUUACUUUUGUUCUACUACUUAAUUGGGUUUGGUAUUUACUUAUACUUAGUAACUGCUAAUAAAAUUUUGACCAACUUUAAAAGCAAUGCUCAGCUCUAACCAUCUUCUUUGGUAAGCCUUACACUUCACGUGAGCUCCCACCUUUGGCGAGUUCAUGCACAUUAUUCCCCACAACUUGUUGAGCGAUGAACGUAUGUGAGCUCACUCUUGCUGUCUCACAUACACCACAGGUCAGGACCAGGUACUGCAGGAUGAUGCUCAUGGAGGAUGCGGUGAUGAGUUCGUGAGAGGUCUAGGUCGUCGUCUCCCAGUCAACUUUGGGUUGCUGGACUGUUGUCUCCUUAUAAUGUAACUAUUUAUUUGUAUAGAACUCCUGUUAUAUAUAAAGUUGUGACAUUCGAUCCUGUGCCACUAUACAUCAUAUGUUUGAGACUUGGUCCCAGCAUAAUUGGUGUUUAUGUUAACCCCGGGUUUUGGACCCCUAAAAUCCGGGUGUUACAGAAGUGGUAUCAGAGGAAUGUUGACUGUAGGACGAAACCUAGAUAGAACCGGACAACCAUUAUUUACUUACCUCUGCUACUCUGAUUCUUUUCUAAACUCUUCUUAAUCAUUUCUCAUCUAAUUCCGCUUUACUCUGAUUAUUCUUACCUUUUUCCUUCUAAAGACAAAUGUGGAUUUCACACCUUGAAAUCCUGUACCUAAAGUGACUUUAGGAAUAGGAGACCUAAUCCUAGGAACAAAAAAAAACUAUUUUUAUAAGUGUCUAUGUAUUUGAAUGUUUGUUCUUAUGAUAUUUGUCUGAUUUGGAUCUUUGAUUGAGUGUGAUGGGUUGUGGAGUAAUGUCCACAAUCGCAUCUGCAUAUACACAUAGGCAUAAAAAAAAAUAUUUAUAAAAUAACUAGACAACCUAGAUUGUCCCCAUUGGAACAUAUCUAGCUUAAGAGAUUUAUCUUAUCCUAAAAAGAUCUCAUUCUAAUUCACCUUAUCUUAAAAGAUUCUCCCUUAUCUUAAUAGAUCCAUCUUAUCUUAAAAGAUACUCACCCUAUCUUGAAAAGAUUGUAUUUCAUCCUAAUAGGUCUAACUGGUCUCAAAAGAUUCUAUCUUAACUUUAUGGAUAUAUCUUAUCCUAAUAAGCAUACUUAUCCACCCUAAUCUAACAACCAUGAUCUAAUGCAAAUUAAUUAGAUCAUAUCUAGUCAAACUAGUCAUACCAAUCUAAUCUAGAUCCCAUCUAACCUAACAUGAUCUAAUCUAGUGUGUGUUACUUAAUGCUGGUACAAAGGAUAAGGCCAUACUCCUAAAUCACUUAAGCCUAAUUUGAAGACUUAUAUCAACUUGGCCAUACACAACAACUCGAUCUAUAUAACAAGUUACAUAACUUACCCAAUCAAUAGAGUCUUAAUGGAUUGCAUAAUCUAUCAACCACCACCUAACAUCAAACAAACUUUUGACCUACAUCAUGUAGUCUAUCUCAUCCAUACCUAUAUUAACCAUAUUCCCCAGCCCAAUAAUAUACACUAACUCCUAAUCAAUGAGACAAGACUGAAGAAGAUGAUCAACUUCAUCAAAGGAGGAUGAGCACCAACUCAAGUCUUCAAGGAUCAAGUGUGGUCACCAAGAUGAGUCAAGAUCCACAAUCUUGGAUGAAGUCUUUUCUUAUCCUACUCUUUCUUACCCAAACCUAUAUAUGCCCUAAAGACAUCUUCUAUUCUACAUAAUAAAGUGGACAUACAUAUAAUAUCCAUGCUUUCCUAAUCACAUGAUAAUUUGUGAUAUUAAAAAAAAAACAACAACAAAUCUUUUGAUAUUAAAACCAACUAGAAACUAAAGCAAAGACUACAAACCAAACUUGUUGGAUCCCCUUCCUUCUUAAUCUCGAGGACGAGAUUAUUUUUAAGGGGGGUAGGAUUUGUAACACCCAAAUUCUGAAUUUAGAAUUGGUAAAAGAAAUCUGAACAAAGUAUCAUUGGGAAAUAAGAAAAAUGAGGAGAAAAAGAAUUUUUCUUUUAAAGGAAACCAUUUAUACAUCUCAUGAAAUAAAUAAACAAGGAGAAUAAAACUUAAACUAGUAAUAAUAAAAUAGUAUGGUUUAUAUUCACCCUUGGAUUUCAAUUGAUACAUUUGAAAAAUCUGAAAACUAAAAUAGAAGUAUAAAUUUGAAUUUGGAAAAGAAAAUAGAAAAUAAAAAGAAAAGGAAUUCUAACCUAACUGGGCCGGUAACCCUGUUUUCGGCCCAUUUAUCUUCGUGACCGCGCGGCCCGCUCGCUCUCUGCGCUUUGCUCUCCACGCCGACAGGUGGGCCUGUGCCGUCGGUGGCUCAGCCGCGCCUGAGCACUCCCUCUCUCGCUGACGAGGCGGGACCCACUGCUCAGGUUCGUCUUCUUCACCUGCCCACGACCGUCAGUCCAAUCACCCGCGUCGCGCGUCCAUCGCCGUGGAGAUCGGGUCGUUGCGGAUCCUCGCGAUUCUUGAGCUCGGACUCGCCCCAGCCCCUGCUCACCACGCUCGCGUCCGCACCAAGGACUCCAUGGCCUGGAAUUUCGCAACAGACUUGCGCGCGCGAGGGGGAAUCGCACCAAUUCCGCCGACGGUCUCGGCCUCCUCUCGCGCGGACUUAUCCCUCCCUCCGGGCUAUAAAACUCGAGCGCCCGUGACCCUGAGCCAUAGCCUUUGCAAGCCGGACACCAAGGUGAGAAAUCGCGUAGUCAUCGCCGAGCGAAAAGCACCGUAGAGCGCCGCCGCCGAGGAUAGCUGUCGUUGGGGGGUCUCGGCUCUCGAAAUCGAGUCGUGGAGUGUCGCCUUCACCUGGGGAAGCCGUCUGUGCCCUCGAUUUGGGUCGAACGCCGCCAAGACUCGAGCAAUCGCUCGUCGCACUUCGGUUCUCCGCCGUGGGCCGCGCGACACCGUGGCCAGCCGCGGUCAUCGCUUCAAUCACUGGUACGUCAACUCCUUGUUGUUCGUUAGGGCCCGGACAUUGUCUAGCGCCGUUUAAUUUGAAUUUGGGGCGGUGGUGCGCCGGAUUGAGCUCCCUCCGGCGGGGUCGCCGCCGCGCGCGGGUUCCUGGGGAUCGGGUGUUAGCGAGGGGAUGAAGAAGGUGCCUCGGCCGUUGGAUCUGGGGUCGGUGGCUGCGAUUAGGUGUUGGGUCCCGAAGGGGGGGGUGUUCUGCGCGGAACCUUUGGAUCAAGAUCGUGUGGCCCGGAGCUGAUCCGGCUUCAUUAAAUCCGAACCGUUCAUUUAUGAUCUGAGGGAUCCGAGCGCAUACCGCUUCGCGGAUGGCUCCGUCUAAUCUGAUCCGUUGGGAACGGAUCGGACGGCUGAGAAUAUUUGAUACCCGUUCGGUUUGGGAUAAUUGCAAAAGAGCCCCUCGGUUUUCACAUAAUAAACCCGCCGUCCAUGUGCACUGUUGACUGAGUCUCGGUAAUCUUGCGAAAGAGUCCCUGCGCUUUGCUGUAAUUGUGGCCCAGUCCAGUGCAGCAUUAAAGUGAUUAAAUGAAUUAGAAAUUUGAUUUUUAAUACAAAAAUAAUUGCUAGAACUUAGAUAAUUCAUAGAAAAUUCAUUUUAGCUCCUUUUUGACCCAUUCCAGUUGCAAUAAUUUUAUUUUAAUAUUAUUUAUCACCUAGUACCUUUGUUUAGCCAAGAAACUUGAAGCAAAAUUGUUCAUUUGAAUUACUCUGUUCUAGGUGCUUAAUAACUUCAGAAAUUCAUAACUUGAAUUCUAUAACUCCAAAUUCAGUAAUUCUUGUUCCUGUGAUCUUAGUUCAACAUGUAGAUUAUUAAUAUGUAUUUUGCAUAUAUGUUUGGUGUAAUGUUAAUUCUGUCUAUACACUGUUUGUUUGUAAUGCUACGACUAGCAGUGAGGUCACGUGUCACCUGAAGAUCAUCCUGGUACCUGGAAUCUCAAGGCCCAGGCAAGUUGUGCCCUUGAUCACUUCUUUUUACCUACUCAUGUUCUAAUUAAUCAUAAUGAUCUGCAUAGGUUAAUUUUGAUGGGACCCAAUAGGUUACCCUAGUUUGUCUAUCUUUAUACCUUGUUUACCACUGAACUUUCUGGGUAGUACUUGCUAGUGCUAUAUGUGGUUUUGGGUAUGGAGAUACACUAUCCAUGGUUACAUUUUUGUUAUCAGUUGUUAUUUAUUGUUCAUGUUAAGAUCAUUAUGUUAAUUGGAACAUGGAGAACCACCCGGGAAAACAGUGCUACCACAGGGGUUUAAUGGGACGCCCUUGGCUGAUUAAUUAGGAAAGCUAGUGGAAGACUACCUUACCCGAAAGGGGCAAGGGCAGUAGGGGAGAGGUCAGUGCGGGAAGUGCCCUCGGGAGGAUUUUGCUGCGAUGGCGGUCCUGCAAGGGAUUCCUGUACUGGAUCUUCCUAUAAACUGUAGCGGGUUUUCGGAAGCUAGUGGAACUUUGUAAAGGCCUCGUAGUGGAUCCCUAGCCAUUCACCUCGGAAGUGUCUAAGGGCUUUGCAAACCCUGGCGACAUGGGAUACACGACUUGUGGGUAAAGAUGCGCAACCUCUGCAGAGUGUAAAACUGGUAUACUAGCCGUGCUCACGGUCAUGAGCGGCUCGGACACUCACAUGAUUAAUUUAUGGAACUAAACUCAAUUUGUCAUAUGCAUUGCAUUGCAGGUGAUGUGGUUACUUUUGUUCUACUACUUAAUUGGGUUUGGUAUUUACUUAUACUUAGUAACUGCUAAUAAAAUUUUGACCAACUUUAAAAGCAAUGCUCAGCUCUAACCAUCUUCUUUGGUAAGCCUUACACUUCACGUGAGCUCCCACCUUUGGCGAGUUCAUGCACAUUAUUCCCCACAACUUGUUGAGCGAUGAACGUAUGUGAGCUCACUCUUGCUGUCUCACAUACACCACAGGUCAGGACCAGGUACUGCAGGAUGAUGCUCAUGGAGGAUGCGGUGAUGAGUUCGUGAGAGGUCUAGGUCGUCGUCUCCCAGUCAACUUUGGGUUGCUGGACUGUUGUCUCCUUAUAAUGUAACUAUUUAUUUGUAUAGAACUCCUGUUAUAUAUAAAGUUGUGACAUUCGAUCCUGUGCCACUAUACAUCAUAUGUUUGAGACUUGGUCCCAGCAUAAUUGGUGUUUAUGUUAACCCCGGGUUUUGGACCCCUAAAAUCCGGGUGUUACAGGCUGCUCGCUGCGACGACGCCCAUGUAUAAUCCAUGCAGUAGAUGCAGUUGAAAAGGGUCAGCUUCAGACCCCCCUGCCCCUGAGUGAAGAAUACUGCAUCCAGAGAUGGUGAUUUUGUUAGUUCAAAAUGUAUAACUGCCCUCAGGCAAAAAUCUCAUUUUACCAUCAUUUGUUGAGUGGGUGCGGCGUAUAAUCAUGACUCUUCAGAUCCCUCUGGUUCGCAUGGUCUCCACACUGUACCAGAAGGUUCAUCCAUCAGGGCGAUGCCCUUGGUAGCAAGGUUUUUCCUGAUUCCAUCAGAUAUCUCAAACUGUUUAUUCUUCCUUGCAACGUUUCUCUGCUCAAUCUGCUCUUGCAAUGUUUCUUCAGUCAGCCCCGCUCUCUUUAGUGCUUUGUCCUUCAAUUGCUUCAGUACCUAUUGGACCAACAGUUUACUCGUUAAAUCUGUAGGUGGUCAUCAUAAACAGAAAUACAUUUCUAGACAGUAGAGUUAUUUUAUUUCUAGACAGUGGCUUCAGUACCUCUGCCAAAUAUAAGCAACAUGUUUAAUAACGAAAGCAUCAAUGACAUACCAAACCAAUCACAACAGAAAUUAGAAAGCUGAAACAAAGAACAACAUCACAAGUUCACCCAAACCACAAGGUCACUUUUGGGUCAAACAAUUAGCAAAGACCGAAGAGAGUGGGAGUCAUAUCAUGAAGCAAAGAAAAAUGGUGAAAUGGUUUGGUGCAAAAUAUAACUACCAUAGGACUGAAACAUACUGCACAAGCUUUAAAUUUCUAUCAUGAUAUACUAUUUGGAGUACACUUGAACACAACAAAUUCAAUAAUAUAAUCAUGGGGCUACUGAUAACUACUGAAAUUAGGAAUAAUCACAAUGGGGGGUUAUACACCAAACACACAAAAAAUCCAUUCAGGAGCACACAGGGUUAAGUGUGAGACAGAGACACAAACCUCUGGACCACCACCAAUAUCCAUUUUCCCAACUUUGCUCCCACAUGGCGUCACGCGCUUGACAGUAAAAAAACAGGAAGAUUAUAAACAUCGAACAAUUCUUAAUAAUAAAUAUAUAACAUUGAUCCUGAAAAAUAGGAAAUAUAUAACAUUAGGAGAAAAACUUACUUAUUUGAGUUGGAGUCAAAGCGAUGAUCAGCUGAUAAAAAGUACCUUUGAUCCUAAGUAGAUUCUCGUAUGCAAUGUGAAUCACCGACAUAUGUUAGUCACAACCCACUCAUCUAUUAUCACAAAUGUCAGUUGAAACAGUGAAGAAAAGGUCUCAUAAAUAUUGAAACAUGAAAAGGAAGUUAACAAAGAAAACUCUAACUAUAACCAAAGCUCUCAUAUGUUCUGCUCCCACACGUAAAUGUGUGUCUGCCUAAGAAAUAUAUGCAUGUUUAUUAUAUGCAUGUUUAAGGCCGAAGUAAUUCUAUAAAACAUGUCGUCGUUAUUGUCAAAUAUACUUACCCAUAGCCUAGAAAUAUUUAUCGGUCUUGACGAACGCUGCAGCAAGCGCAUGUGGGAGCACGACGGGACACUCCUCCCUGCAGAAACAUGUAGGAAUGGCACACAAGACAUUGAUCAACAUAUUCUGCCUUGCAUAUAUGGUAGCUAUAAAUCAACAAAGCACAAUGGCAACUGUAAGAUGGCUAUCAGAAGAAAAAAGAAUCAGUCAUCAACGGUAUACCAUCAUCAAGCUACCGCCAAAACACAACAUGAGAUGAAAUCUGAUAUGCUUUUUUCAUAACGCCAUAUAGUUAAGAUGUGCUGCUUAGGAUCAAAGGUAAAAAUUGUUUUUUAGUCAUCAUGCUUCCAUCAUGCAUGCACUGGCCUAUCGCAUACAAAACAACACAACAACUAUUUCUAUUCUCUUAAGAAAAAAAAGAGACAGAAAGGCGAACACGAUCUAUACUACCUACAAUCUGCUGGACAAAGGGCAAUGUGGGUUACCGUGAAGACAAAGAAGGAGGUGGACGGGUCCCCAGGGAUGUGCUGGCCUGCAUCGACGAGGAGCAGCUCAGUGUAAGGUCAAGGCAUUGUAAUGAGAUUAUCCCUAUUGAACGAGCAUUCAAGCAUGUGCAAAAUGAAUUUUAUGAUAUACAUUGUAAAAACUGAAAAGUAAAAUGUAAGUGCAUGAAAACAAAAGGUAUAAUCAAGAAGAAUAAAGGACCUGAACACAUACAGCAUGUGCACUGCAACAUCCAGCGCCUACAUAGUUUCGAUCUGAUAGUUGAGCAAUCACUACCAGUGGCGGAGGGCGGAAAAGAUUGAAGGUAUGGCUAAAUCUAGCAAAGAUUUUUUUACCAAAUUAGCUUAUUAUAUGAUUAUGAUUGUCGUCUAAUGUAUACAUAAAAAAUAUUUAUGACAAAUAGAAAGAUAUAAAUGAAGUUAACUGGCUAACCGAGUGAUAACACACUUUAAUUUCAUCUAGGAGAGUAAAAGUUUGCAGCUCCUCUAUCAUUGCCAUCGAACCAAAAUGUCCGCAAAUCUAUAGUCAGCCACCAUCAAUUGUUUACCGAAGUAUAUUAAACUAUUAAACACACAUGCCAAUUAAGUUGUAACACUGUUCGUGGCAAUUGACACUUGUUUCUGUUCAGGUCAUCAGCCAUUCAAGGAGAUAGGAGAUGCGCUGGCGCGCUGCCCAGCUGCCACCGUCACGGACUCGAUGACGAUAUUAGGACUCGUGCUUGGCAGUGAAUGGACGAUCGUGGUGUCGUGAGAGACGAGUACAAGCAACUAAACGAUUAACAUAGAGUAGAAGCUCUCGAGGCCUGUAACUAAUAGUUCCUAACAUGUGUUUCUGCUCUUUCUCCAGCCACCUUCUCUAGCCACCGAUGUUGAGUUUCUUGCGGUGAAUCUUUAUUUUCUUCGAUAUGCUUAUGGUACAUAGUGAUUUAGGCAUAACAAUCACUAAGAAUUUUAGGUAUGGCGAGUGUCAUAUCUUGCCACAUUAAGAGCUCCGCCCCUGAUCACUACCCACUUUGAGGAGGAGCUCCAAACGAGCCAAGUGAGCAUUUACUCGAAUAGGUGGUGAGCAAGAAGGGAAACACACCAGAUUGGUGAGCACAGGGUGGACGAGGUGUAGCUGUAGUAUUCAAAAUUCAAGAAAAAUAAUUAACACGAAUAGGGAACAAGUGUAGUAAUCUUGUAUUUAAUUAUAUGCACACUUGAAUUAAUAUAGUACAAUGUGUGCAUUGUAACGUAUACAAUUUAUUUGAUGAGGGACUCAGUGCAUAGCAAUGACAUACAAUUUAUUUGAUGAGUGAUUCAGGCAAUAGGGAAUCACGAACAAGAGCAAACAAUGCAGAGUUCGCUUAAAAACCGAAUACUCUGAUUUUCCAACACUUUUAAGAGCUAUCCGUCGUAAUAUCGUUUCUGGCUGCAGCUGCACCCUCCAUUAUGUUACAUGGAGAACUAAGUAAAUAAUUAUAAUAGUUUAACAGGUAAGUAGCAAGAAAAGUAACACAAAUUAAACGCGACCGCAAGAUCUUAGCUUGCUUCUUCAUUAUAAGCAAACUAAGUCAUUUCAUUGUGUUAGAUUGUUGGAUCAGAAACAAGCAUCUAAAUUUGGUAUACUGAUUGCCCCUCAGCGCACAGUGGGUUGAGGCAGUGCAUCAAACGCUUCAAGCGCAAACAAGCAGAAUGGAAAGCCAGACAGCACCGGAACGAUCGGGACACGAGGAGCUUACCAGAGACUACGGCGCAGUGGCAGCGGCACCCUCCUUGGCGACGGCUGCCGGCUUCACUCGGUUUCCAGCAGCACAGGGCACCCUAGAAUUUCAAGGAGCCGACUCCCUAUAACACGCGACAGAUGUGCGCUGCAAAAAAUGUAGGGAACAGGAGGCAUGCGUCCGGCAAACCAACAGGGGUCGAACAUUCACCUGGCAUGGUGCUGGCGCACCUGCACGACGGCGGGCCACAGGUUUGGGUCGGCCUAUGACUGGCCACAGGCUCCAUAGAGGCGGUCGUGAGCGGUGAGCUCGACGACGUGGGCCUGCGGCGGCGGUGGCUCCGUCUUGCCCGCCUCGUGCUCGCAGUGGAGGUCGAAGCGCCUGGGGCAGGGCAUGGUGGAGACGAACCUCUCGCAUCGCUUCUUUAGGUUGGGCACAUCGAGGCCCCUGGAAAGCUUCGGUCCCCGGGGGAACGGGAGGGCGGGCGAGGAGGCCGACGCGGCGUGGGACGGGUAAGCGUGGUGGAGGAGCGACGACUUGACGGGGCGAGCGGAACGCCGGGUAAGCGUGGUGGAGGAGCGACGGCUUGACGGGGCGAGCGGAACAUGGGAUCCGGCUGCCGGCGUCGCCUAGGGUUUUGGAUCCGAAUACGGGAGGCAGAACGGGGUCGCGAGCGGGUGUGCCGUGUGCGUGGUGGAGAGAGUGCGCGCAUCGGACGAGGCAUCGGACGAGGGAGAGAUUCCACGGCGUAUCGAACGGUUGAGAUUCAUGGGAGGCAGAACGGCAGAACCGCGCUCUGGCAGACUACUCUUACCUUCUUAAUAAGUAGUACAGAUAUGGCAACGUAUCCUGUGUAAAAGGUUCUCCUGUGUAAACAUGCUAAAACGUCUUAACAACCUUUGGAUCCAGAAUCAAAGGCUAAUCUUAAUCCCACCUGAUAAUAUUGUGUUUUUUUCUAAAGAACCCCCUCCUGGUAAUCUGGUGCGGUGGCGGUUAGGUGGGAUUAAAAUUAGCCUUUGAUUCUGGAUCCAAAGGUUGUUAAGGCGUUUUAGCAUGUUUACACAGGAGAACCUUUUACACAGGAUACGUUGCCUAUAUAUAUAUAUAUAUAUAUAUAUAUAUAUAUAUAUAUAUAUAUAUAUAUAUAUAUAUAUAUAUAUAUAGCGCGCGACGACGACGACCGCAAGCUCUACGCGUGAAGGGAACAGGAGGACAUGUGACCCAGGUGCGAGCAAUUCCAGGAACCCAUGAGUUUUAUGGAUCUCAGCUCCUAGAUCUAGAGUUUUGAUGGAUCUGAAUGUGUAGACUCAAGAUGCUUGGAUGUUUUUUUUUUAUCCAGAGUCGUUUUCGGUAUAUCUGAAGUACUCACAGCUUUUAUUUGUCAAACAAAGCCUUGAUCUUAUUUAAAUCCUUAUCUCUAAAAUUUAAAAAAAACAAGACAAAUAUAUUAGCAUUUUUAUGUUUUUAAUAAAUAUAUUAACAUUUCUAAGUCAUUAGACUUUCUAAGUGGUAAGUGACCGUUAUUACAAAAAAAUAAGUCCGUGGUGUACUAUUUUAAUUAUAAGCUCCUAGAUCUAGAGUUUUAAUGGGUCUGAAUAUGUGGAGUCAAGAUGCUUUGAUAAAAAAAAUUUGGUCUAGAGUUAUUUUUGGUAGACCUAGAGUACUUAAUACCUAGAGCUCCGUCAAACAAAGCCUUGAUUUUAUUUAAAUGCUAUAUUUCUAAAGUUCUAAACAAAAUUUUAGAAAAAAAAAUUACUGUUUUUGUUUAAAUAAAUGCUCGAUUAAAUAUGUUUUUCGAUGAAUGAAUGUAAUAACACAAAUUUAGUAUUAUAUAAACGUUAAUAUAUUUUAUAUAAAAUUUGUUACGGUUAGAGUAUUUGACUUUUGACAAUUCAAAUAUAUAAAAGCUAAACGGUUAGUGCAAGAGAGGGUCCUGAACUUUUCAAGGGUAUCUCUUAUUAGACUUUUUAAGUGGUGAGGUGAUCGUUACGAUAAAAAAAAGCAUGUGUGGUGUAGUAUUUAUAAGUUUUGAAAUGUACGAUUCAUUACUUAAUAAGUUUAGAUAAAAAAUAUGUUUCAAGGUUCAUCAUCCUAAGUGUGAUAUCCCUCAAUAACUCUAAAGUCCGUUCAUGUAUUUAAAUCCAAACUAAAUAUUAAAACCGAGAGAGAGCAACUCGUUUAUUAUGCUAUUUCUAACACGCAUAGAUAUUGAUCGCUGAUGUGGCAUGCGGGGCGGUUGGUCUAUAUGCCACAUUAGCGACGUGGCAUGUUUUGAUUGGUCUACAUGCCAUGUUAGCUAUAUGUUUUUUGUUAGAGCACAGUGAAAACAAGACUCGAGAGAAUUGAGAGAAUGACAGUUGUUCCUUUAUUGCAGCAAGGGCUAUGUUUAUAUACAUAUGAAGGGUGAGUUCCCAAGGGGUGUGUCCCUUGGGAAUUAUCUGUCGCACCCCUUGGAUUGAUCACAAAUACAAUAAUUUGUAACACUCCCCCUUGAUCAAUCCAAGUCCAUUUGAUCAUCUGCAAGUAGGCCUGCAAAUGGGAUGGGUGUAAAUGGGUAUUUUAGGUGGGUUUAAGAAAUGGUUUUAUUUUGGUGGGUUGUGAUGGGUUUUAAUUAUUAACGGGUUGGGUUGGGUGGGUUUAUUUUAUAUUGCGGGUCAAAAUGGUGGAUACCCAUGGGUAUAGAUGGAUUUGUAUAGGUACGGGUUUCCAUGGCUAUUCACCAAUCAGACUACCACCUUAAUCAGUACUAUUUUAUUUCAGGUUUAGAGAAGUCUUUGAUUUCUUUAGUCACACACAGCACACUAUACUAUACCAUUUUAUCAGUACUAUUUUAUUUAAAAAUGUGACCAACUAUAAAGUUGCAUAACUUUUUGAUAUCUACAAAUUCUAUUUUAAUAGUUUCUACAUCCGAGACCGUUUACAAAAUUUGAAUUUUAAAUUUAAAAACUUCACACGAAUUUUUCAAUGAUAAGAUGAUUUCAAAUAAAAAAGUUGACAAUUACAAAGUUUCAUAACAUUUUAAGAUCUACAACUUUUAUUUUGGUGGUUUUUCCAUCCGAGGUAGUUUUGCAUGGCAAGAUGAUUUCAAACCAAAACAUUGUCAACUACAAAGUUUCAUAACUCUUCAAUACCUACAACUUUCAUGUUGGUGAUUUUUUCUUUCGAGGUUGUUUUCAAAAUUCAAAUUUUAAAUUUUUUAAAUUCAUGCAUAGUUUUCGUUGAUAAUAUGACUUCAAAUAAAAAAGUUGUCAACUACAAACUUUUAUAACUUUUCAAGAUCUACAAAGUUUAUUUUGGUUGUUUGAUCAUUUGUUCAUCUCACAUGAUAGUUGUAACAAUAUGCACAAAUUCUAUACAUAUCUCUCGUAGUUCCAUAAACUAUGAGAGAGAUAUAGGUUUUAUGAACAAAUUUAUUUUUAGUUUAUCAUAUGAAGAAAUGUUCAAAAUAUAAAAUGUACAUCAUGAUGAGUUAUACAAAUUUGUAGUUGAAAACUUUUUCAUUUGAAUUAAUUUACUGCUUUAAAAUGUGAUUUUUAAAAUGUGUAUGCAGUUGGCUUGAUGUGAGACAAUAAGCUAAACCCACGGGUUUUCCAUGGGUUUCCACCCAAUUACGGGUUGGUUUGGGAUCAAUAAUGUUAUUGGAUGGGUUGGGUUUAACUUCUCUCUAGUAUUUUUGGUUGGGUGUGGGAUGGAUAUCAAAGUAAUUAGAUUUGGGUAUGGGUGGUAGUGGAUUGGAUUUUUUGCCAUUAGCAGGCCUAUCUGCAAGUUGCCUUCCAAUAUAUUAUCUCCUCAAAAACCCUGUGGGAAAAAUAAGGAGUACAUAAUGUCUUUUGGAUUAUAAGUAGAACUCACAUUGACCUCCAAAAGAAAAAUAUGUCUGUAAUCAUUAUUCAUAAAAAUCCCAGUGGGGAAAAGUUAAUGAUGAAGCAUAUAGCUUAGUUGAUAUUACCUUGUUAAAAACUUUGGAUGAGAAAACAUUAACAAGGCAAAACUCAUACAAAGAAAAGAGUGUAAUAUGAUGGUAUAAAACAGGUCGAAUAUCAGGGAGAAUUACUCCCCCUGAUCUUGCAAACACUUAAGUCUUCUCAUACCAAUCACCUCAACACAUUUCUGAAAACGUUGAGUAUGGUAGAGAUUUUGUGAAUAGAUCAGCAAGAUUAUCACAAGACUUUGUUUGCAAGAUGUUAAUAUUUCCAUUUUCCUGUUUCCAUCUGAACAACACAAGCUCAAUUAUCCUUAUGGAUAAUGAUCAGUGGUUCAAUUGAACCACAAUACGACAUUGUUCUCCAAUGGACCUCUAGCCCAAAGAACAAUAAUAUGUCUAUAGCCAUCAUCUCAAAAAAACCCAUGAGGAAAAAUAAAUGAUGAGACAUAUAACUCAGGCUAAUAUUUCUCCAAGAUAAUCUAGUCAGAAAAUAUGAGAAAUCAACAUAUCAGCCGAGUCUCCUUAAAAACCCAACGGGAAAAAUAAGGAGAGUAGUCAUACUCUAUUGGUGAUCCAUUUGAACUCUAGGGAUAUAAACUCAUAUCCUAGUUCAAAUACAACAAUAAUUAUGUCAUAAUGUAUCAUCCUUGAAAACCUCUACGGGAAAAAUAGAUGAUACGACAUAGACCUUGUGUUGAUGUUGUCUCGUUAAAAACUUUGAAUGAGAAACCCAAGCAGGGAAAAACUCAUGCAAAGAAAAGAGUACAACACGAUGUAUAAACAAGUUCUUUCGAUCAAGAGGAAACUCCCAUGAUCUUUGCAAAUUACUAAGUCAUCCCAUACCUGCUCUCAAACACAUUUAAAAUGUGGAGUAAGGUAGAGACUUAGUUCGUAACUUGUUUUACAUCUAAACAACACAAAGUAAUAUUAUCUUUAUAGACAAUAAGGUCAGUGAUAUAAAAUCAUGACCACCAUAUAUCCUCAGUAUGUAGUAUAUCAUUCUGUGUGUAAGUGACCAUUAAUCUCUGUUGAUCGACAUUUAUCAAACAAAUGGUUCAACUUACCAGAAGUAUGUCAUUGAUCUUGUACUUGGGGAUCUUCUAUAGAUAUCCAAGAUCAAUAUAUCCAAACAUAAGGAGAGCAUGAGUACACCUGGAGAUCAUAACUCAAUCUCAUGUGCUGUUAGCUAGCAAAUCUUUGCAAAGCAAUAUCCGGCCGGAUGCUCUUGCAAGAUACAAUAGCACAUCUCAUGAUCUGAAAGAAUCAAAUAACUAUGAUUCCAUUGUAUUGAAUUUCUUCAAUAUACGUUGGAUAUAGACAACUUUGUUUCCAAGAUACUCAAGAUAGUUUACUUUGAAUUGGAAAUCUUUUUCAGUUCAUGUCCUCUAUCUUGAACUUCGUCGAUAAGUAAUGUAUGUUUAAAAUAUGCUGCACAUAUUUACACUGAACAUACCAUACUUUGUGUAUCCUUUCAGAAAGAAGGAUUCACUAGGUCGAAUGUACCAUAUUUGACCAGGAUGCUCUAAGUCACAAAGACUUUCCAAGCAUUGCAAAUUUGUGAUUGGUGAUUAUGUAUUUGAAAUCCUUCAAGACUCCACAUAUACCAUAAUCUAGUGACCACAUAUGCAUAUGUUGUCACUACAUCUAUCAACUGCACAGAUAGAUGAUUUACUGCCCUUUGUAUUGUAUCGGAAUUUUACUACUCACGGUAGAAGAGAAUUUAUAGCAUUUAAAAUAAUGCUUGGGUUUGCGUAUAAACCCAGUUGCUACUAGCCAUGCUUUCUCACCACCUCAUUGUUUCCAAGCCCAUGAAAACAAACUUGUAUCCAUAGUAAGAUACCUUGAAGUGAAAAUAAGUUAACACUUCUUUCCGAUGAGCAAGGCUAUCUCUGCAGCAUUGUAUCACUCAACAAGAUCCAGUUUGAGCAUACUCGUGCUCUGCUAUGGCCAUAGUCUUUUGGAUCACUUGGAGCGCAUAUACAAUUGCUGAGAUAUAUGUGUCGACACUUAUAGCUUUUAAAUAACACAAUUCUCUAGUUGACAUAAAGUCAUUUUUUAUGUACCCUUAUGAUUCCUCGUGAAAUCCCAAAACGAGAAUCAAGGGCUUUCGAUAACCUAGCCUCAUCAGUGCGCACUGAGCUAGGUUGUGAAUGUCUUCCAUUCACAGGAUAAUCAAUAUCCUUUAGGUGUCCACCAACACUAGGUUGGUUACCAACGAAUAGAUGGUCUGCAUUUACUAUCUCGGAAGGUCUAGCCUUCAGCUGCUUGCAAGCAUCUUAAUCCCAAUUUGUGACCAUACUUCUCCCCCUCUUAUUUACAACAACGUUGCAAUAGGGAGUUAAGUGGGUUUCCAUGUAACCACUCUUUCUGGCACUUCCUCAUAGGAUUAAUUUGAGUAACACCUCAUAGUAAAUGCACAUGGCAGUCAAUUUGCAACUUCUUUCAAAUCAUUCGAACCCAAAGGUUAAGUUUUAGUAUGUGAUCCUAAGCCUGAAUGCUUAUGGCAUUCAUUAUAAUUUCCUGGCAUUCAUUUUGGUACUCGAAAUCUCCCCCUAAUGUCUGGAAAAGCUCAUGAUUUAAGCAAGUGUACGGGCCAUAAAUAGAUUCUCAUGAAGAGAUUCUAAGACUUAAUGAUCGACGGAGAAUGAAUUCUCACAUAGAUCCCCAACUUUCUGUGUGCCCAUACAUGUACGCUGCGGUGGUGAGAUUGGGAAAACAUACCCCAUGUACGCAUGGGAAAUCUUUCACGGAUUCCCACGUACUAAAAACCAUAUGGGAACUUGUACAUCCAGUACAUGCAGUUAAUCACAAGUCAGGAGCGUGCAAAACUUCCUGACUCCAACCAUAACCAGUUGGAAAUGACAAUUCAUUACUGAUGGUCACUAAUGAUCUGAAAUUUUCGAAUCUAUCACAGAUUCAUCAUAUCCUUUAUGGAUAUCAUUCUGAAUACCAAGACAAACAAUCAUCAUUGUAAGCACAUUUGGUAAAUUCAGUAGUGUGGAGGCUAAUGUGCUCAAGCUUGAGACAUUAUUACUUAAUGGUCAUGUGUUGUCCGAAGGACACACUUGAGGUCAUCAUAUAGAUGCACCAAUAACCAUAUAAAGCCUUCAAUGUCCAUACAACUCUGUAAUGGACCACACUUGUUCCUUUGAAAUAAUUCAAAGAACUUAACCAAAUUCAGAUCAGAUUUUAAGAUAAGAGGGACUUAAAAUUUUAAGAUAAGAGGGACUUAAAAUCUCAUUCUCGAUGAUACUCAUCAAGUAUCCAUCUUAUGGGAAAAAAUGACCAAUAGAAUUGUUCAUAACUUUUCAUUUCAUCCCAACAAUGGGAUGACCAAUUCAAUCUUACCCAGCAUGGUAAGUAUCAUCACUUGAAAAGUUAUAACAUAUGCAACACUUUGUAUGGGAGGAUGUAUGUAGAAUACAGUCCAUAAGAAAUGUUUCUGAGAAACAUAUGCAAUAUCCAUCACUAUCACCUUGUAUUUCCACAUGAUAGUAAUUUUAUGGAUAUCUCUAUAAUUAGGUAAGAUAAAUUAGGAUAUAUCAACACAUCGUUGAUACUUCCAUUACCAAAAGGGGACUAGAUAUUAACAUAUCAUGAUAUCGCGCGAAGCGAUUGUUAAAAUAUUCUUUCCUCUUUCCAAAGGAAUAUGAGAAUAUUUUGUUUCCCCACUUAUAAAGUUUGUGGCUCAAUUCUCCACAUUGCAUGUUUCUUCCUCAAUUGGAAGAAUCCCUGUACAAGUUUGCACAACUCAAAUCAAUGAGUCCUCAACUCCCUUGAUGAGUUGGUUCAACUCUAAUCGAUGAGUUUGUUCAACUCAAAUCACAUGAGUGAUCAACUCCAAUAGAUGAGUUUGUUUAACUCAAAUUCAUAUGAGUUUUUACACUCAAAUCACAUGAGUGUGUUCAACUCACAUCGUAUGAGUUGAACCUAUCACAACAUCAAUUAUGAGAUUAUACCAAAUCUCAUGCAUCAUUUAAAUAUUACUCAAAAGCAAAUCAUCUAACAAAGUGGUCUUCUCUUAGAAAAAGAAGUGUUGUUAUAUGAUUAGUCCAAAUCAUGAAUUACACAACUAACCACUGUUAUCAUGUCAGAUGGAAGAUUGAAGUACACUUCAUAUCUUAGCUUUCAUGAGUAGUAUACAUCUAUUGGGAUUUCAUAUACAUGAUUAGAUGCUUAGGCAUACAACACUAUACCACGUAUAGUGUAAUGACAAAAGAGUUUGUCAUACUCAUUGCCCUUCCCUUUUUAAUGUGCUUAUAUAUUUGCUUUCAAGCAAAAAUAUUUGAAUACAAAGUGUUAGUCUACAACAUAAUGUAGACACAUACUCAUAAGUCCACAAGUCUUAUGAUUUUCUUUGCUAUUCAUUUUGUGGUUGCAUAUCAAGCCGCAAAAGCACAUAAGUUCUUUUCAUAAGAACCGUAAGAGAAAGAGAGCAUCUCAUUUCCUCCAAAAUGAAGAGGUGAAUUCCCAUGUCAUGCAAAAAUGAAAUGAACAUAUCCAAUGAACAUUAAGGAUAAUUAAGCCCAUUAGGCGAGUUCAUCAAUCUCUAUUAAAUAUUUAUCCUUCAAAUGGCUUAACCAUUUUUGUUUGUUGUUGCAACUUUGCCGCAAAUUAUAUUAUAUCUUUAUAUGUUGGAGAAUUCCAGGUGUCUCAUAAAGUGUACCAUAGAUUUUUGAAAAUUGGUGUACACAACGUAGAUAAUCUCCAUGUAAUUAAACAAUGGAGUAGAUCUCCCAGUAGUGGGCAAAACAUUUUGCUGCCUGAAAGCAUAGUCUCUAGGCUGAUAUAUUUAAGGAACAUACCGCAGCCAAUGCUUAGGACUCCACUACCCUGUGCUUGACCAAAAUUUUAAAAAUAAAAUGGAAAUCACCAUAAAGGUGAAUAACCAACAUCACAUCUCCAACAUAUCUACUUGGAAGAACACAUAGGUAAUCAUCAUAACCAUAUGAUGUAGACCUCUUACUGAUGGGCAAAUAACAUUUUGUUGCCUAAAAGCUUGGUCUCAGGGCAAAUAAAUUCAAAGAACUUAUUGCAGCCAAAGCCUAGAUCUCCAUCAUGUGUUGAAAUAUCCCAAGAUCAAGAUAUGUGUCAUAUUUUGCAAGAAUUCAUCGUUUAAUUAAGUAGAACUUAAUUAAAAGAAUUCUUUGCGUUGCUAGCGUGACCGCAACGUCCUACGUGGCUCACAUAGCCAGCGAGGAAUUAUGAUGAACCUCGAGGGUUCAAUCCCCAAAAUGCUGGAAUUAAAUUUCUAAAAAGAAAUUUAAAGAUAAUGAUCUCCAAGUAUCACAACCAUUCUUUUGAGAUAAACACAUGUAGGUAAUCACCAUGUGGUUGGUACAUAGUGUAGACCUCUCAGUGACAGGCGAAACUAAUCGCUGCAUUAGACAUGGUCUCUGGGCAGGAUUAUUCAUGAGAAUAAAACGCAAUCAACGUCUAUGACUCUAUCACCUUAUGUUCAAAUCCAAAUAAUGAUAUGUGUCUGUAUAAAAUAAAUCCAUUUAAGAAAAUAAAAUUUAAAGGAUUCAUCAUGCAUAUCAAAUACACAUAUUUAUAUGUAUAUGACCUUUUUUUAAUGCAAAAUGCAUUUCAAGAGAAAAUAAAUAAAUAAAUAAAUAAAUAAAUAAAUAAAUAAUGGUACACGGUGUCGAAUGCUGGGACGACAACCGUUUCGGUGAACCGGUACCUGCAUGCGACGACCCCAUCGCGUCGACCUCCCGCGGAUCCAGAUUCAACCGGUCAUCUCAUGUUGUACGUACGUAUACGUACUAGUACAUCGUAUAGGUAGAUGGAAAUGGAUGACAGAAAUAAAAGACCGUUGAUGUACAUGUACGUAUAGAUGUCCAAACGGUGCGGGCCGCCCGUUUGGCCCGUGGCACGAUACGAAUUUAGCCCGGUCCAAACACGGCCCGGCACGAUCGGUUACGGGCCCGGGCCGGCACGACCCGUUUAGCGGGCCGGGUAUGGGCAGAUACGGCGGCCCGCGUGCUUUGGCCCGGCCCGGCCCGAUAAAUGGGUCGGCCCGACGGCGGCCCGCAUAUUUAUGUAAAUACUAAAUAUGUAAAUACAUUUAAUUCUCUCCUAAUAUGUAAAUACUAAAUAUGCGGCCAAACAUAUAUAAAAUGCAUACAUAAAUAUAAAAUGCAUACAUAAAUAUUUUGUUGUCUUAAUAUAUGUAAAUAAUAUGUUGUUAUAUAUGAUUAAUUUUGUUAAAUAUAUGUAUUUAUAUACCGCUCUACUGUUGGUUCGGGUCAGUGCCCGGUCCGGUCCGUUGAGGCCCACCGGGCCAACGGGCCAGCCCGACACGAUUUUUCUCUGUGCGUGCCGGGUUUGGGCAUGUCCCUAGGCACGUGGGCCAGCCCGACCCGGCCCGAAGCAUCAACGGGCCGUGCCUGGCCCGGCCCUAUUUGUACCGGGCCGAAACGGGUUCGAGCCGGGUCCGUGCCGAGUGGCCCAUUUGGACAUCUAUACAUGUACGUACACAAAGCCAUGGCUUCCAGGCUUCCAACGUGUUUGUUGCAUUGACGGUUGUGGUCCCACCAGGCGCCAGCGCCAUCCACCGUCUGGUCGGGGCUCGCCAUGGCCACGGCCGCGCAGCGCCUGGCGGCUGGCCGGAGUCACGCCCGCGUCAGCGUCUAGUGGCUUCCCUCUCGCGCCUGAGCGUGGCCCGCCGGAGUCACGCCCGCGUCAUGUCGUGGCCGACUGGAGCCAGUUAGCCGGGACCGCUCCUUGCCGGUGACGCGCUAUGUCCGCGCCAGAGCCGCUCCCGCUCGCCUGCAGCAGGUCGAGGCCGCGCCUGCCCGCGCAGUGGCCUCCCAUCACCGUCGUGGUGCUGGUGUCUUCCCACACCGACUUUGGUUGGAACCGCUCGGCCUUUCGGUCGUCGUGAGGGCAUCGUCGGGCACACCGCUGUCGUCACUGAGUCCAAGCCGGCUAGGUCGUGCCCACUCUGCCAGGGAGCAGCCGGUUGUGGCCGCAUCGUGUAAGGAUGUGCCAGGCCAUAGCCUCACUGAUGCCACUAGGGUCACGUCCGCGCUAGGAUCGUGACUUGCUAGGGAUGUGCCCUUGCCAUGACCGCCCCCACGCAGAGGCUGAGCGCAUUGCCAGAGCAGCGCUCGAUGUCGGGAUAUGCUCUCAACGGAGCAGCAUCCGAGGCGGGCCGGGCUCGCCGAGUUAGGACUGCGCCCGUGCCGUGGUCGGGGCAGCACCCGCACGCCAAGAAGCGUCAGGCCAGGGACGUGCCAUGGCCGCACUCUGGAUGGGUGGGUUGUGCUCGCGCACCAGGGAUGCCAAGGAAGUAUAAUAUGUAGCAACCUGCCAGUUCCUUUGGAGAGCAAACAGAAUCACCUUAUACAGGCGUUCUAAGCCUUCUGCGCGCGCUUGUCGGCUAUGAGCGGUUCGUUGUUGCCGAGUGGUCGCUCACGGUCUCCGCGACUGACGUGCACCACGGUGGUUCCUCGCCAGACUCUACACCGCCCACCAUGGGAUGUCGUCUCCGCCGUGCCCAUGCAGGUCCCGAACCUGCGGCCUUCGUGCGCUCGAUGGAGAUUAGCCAUCGCCGGUUACAACCAGACUGCCAUGACCGAAACCGCUCGGUGGAGAGUAAAGGUUAGAGCGCACUGAAAACAAGACUCGAGAGAAUGGAGAGAAUGACAGUUGUUCCUUUAUUGCAGCAGGGGUUAUGUUUAUAUACAUAUGAAGGGGUGAGUUCCCAAGGGGUGUGUCCCUUGAGAAUUAUCUGUCGCACCCCUUGGAUUGAUACAAAUACAAUAAUUUGUAACAUUUUUAACUAUUUGUGGUUUAGAAAUUUUGGAAAGAAACAAUAAAAAAUAAAAAAUAUUAGAACCCAACCUAUAAAUAGAAUGUUGUUUGGUUUCAUUUACAGUCUUCACUCUCCAUUUUGCUCCUAUCACUUUCUAUUUCACUCUUCUCACUCUCCUUUUCAUUCCACCAAACUAUUCUCGUCGUGUCUUUCUCUAGCUCUAACUUUAAGAUGACCAAAGAUGAGGUACUCAAUAUGCUACAUCAACCUAUGAUGGAUACAAUGAUGAAGCUUGCCUUUGGGUCUUCAAUGAGAGGGAGGUGAAGGGAGCAACAGUAGAGCUACAUUAUUUGGGAUCGUAAAGCAGUAUACAACCGGCUAAUGCAAGACUACUUCAACAACCCAUGUGUCUAUCAUCUGCUCUACUUCCAUCAAAUGUACCACAUGCGGAGGAGUCUCUUUCUUCAAAUCAUGAAGAGGUUGAGUGAGCAGUACUCCUACUUCACUCUUAGAGUCGAUGCAAUCAACCACAAUGGUUAAAAAUGCGUUGUAGCCCUCCACAUACUUACGCACGUCAUUGCUGGCUCCAUUGAUGAGUAUACCAAAAUAGAGAAAAGCUUGACCUUAUAGUGUAUUAAAUAUUUUUGUAGGGAUGUCAUUUCAUGUUUUGAUGAGAAGUAUAGUCAUCGUUCUACCGUUGAUGAUAUUAGACAUCUUUUAGCUAAGAUAUAGGAGAGGGGAUUUUCUAGUAUGAUACGUAGUUAGAUUACAUACAUUAGAAGUGAAGGAACUGACCCAUUGGAUGGAAAGACAGUUUAAUAGGGAGACAUUGGAUCCCUGACCAUCAUGCCCAAAGUGCUUGCCUCGUACGACUUAUGGAUUUGGCAUAUUUUUUUUGUUAUAGCAAGCUCGAACAACGAUGUCAACAACCGAUCGUCAUUAUUCACUAACGUGCUUAAGGGACGAGCACCAAAAGUAAACUUCACGGUGAAUAUAUAUGAGUACAACCAAGAGUACUAUCUCGCUAAUGGUAUCUUGCACCUGGCGUUUGGUGUUUGCGAUGACCACACCUAUCCCACAUACUCCAAAAUAAUAUAUAUUUGUUGCAUGCUAGAAGGGUACGCGGAAGGACGCUGAGACAAUAUUUGGGGACUUCAAGUAUCGCUUAGAUAUUCUCGCUAGCUUAAGUCGUUCUUUUUUCUCACCAAGUAUUUGUGUGAUCAUACAUGCAUGUAGAGUUAUGCACAACAUGUUCAUUGAGAAUAGACGUGGAUGAACAUAUAUUAUAUAUGACUAUGAGAUAGUCGAGUCCUCUGUCGCAGCACUAAGCAUCACCCCUAAAAAACCUACGAGGUUUGUAGUCAUUCUUCAACUCGAAAACAAUUUAAUGGAACAUAUCUAGGACUUGUACGACAAUUAGAUUCUAUUUACGAACUAUGUAAUCUUGUAGAUUUAGUAAUUUUUAUUUGUAUUUUAUAAGUUAUGUAAUUUUUAUUUACUUAAUUAUAAUUAUGUAACAAGAUGUAUUUUAUUUGAAAAAAAAAGGUCAAGCUAAAAAAUACUUUAAGAGGUUAUAUGAACAUCGUCUAUAUGUGAAGGGUCUGAUUUGGAUAUUUUCCCUUUUAUUUCAAUAAAACGACUCUCGUGGUCUAUUUAUGUUUGGUUGAACCGUUGAAGCGCUGGAGUUUGUUUUCCAUCUGUUGCCCCCGGUGCUCUAUUUUAAUUUUUAUGUUUUGCAGUGGCGCGCCGCGUUCACGAAUGGUAUGGAAGUGACGAUGGGCACCGGCCGCAAUGAUUAAUAAAAGAACUGUAGACAUGUUGAUCGUUUUAUUUUAUUUUAAGAACAGCAAGGACUACUCUUGUGGUCGAGACCAUUAAUCAAAUCCUCCCUCGCGGAGCGCACGGGACUUUUUUUAUAAAAAAUAAUAAAUAAAGUUUAAGACAUCAGAAUCAUCUUGGACGUGAGAUUCAAAAAAAAUAAUAAAGUUUAAAACAGCUCCACAGUGAAUUAGCUCGUCUGACCCAACAAUCAACCAAUUAUGGCCUAACGGCAGUACGGGCUUGUUUGGAUGGGAGACCUGCCGGAGCUGUAUGGUCGAGGCAUCCAUUUAACAUUUAAUUGUAUUGUAACGCUUGUAUUGUAAGGCUGUCCCUAUCUCAUCUCUUAUCUUAUUCCCUAUUUUAAAUUUCACUAAACAAACAAUAUCAUCUACAAAUACAAAUCCUACACGAUCUGAGAAAAACCUAAGUUUGAUUGCACAACCAUUUUGUUUCUUAGUUAUUAAGGCAUGUACCACUUUAUUUAAUAUAGUGUCUUUUAAGGGGUUUUAGAGGUUCAGUAAAAAGUACAAGAGACAUCUCUUCGUGAAGAGCUUAUCUCUACAUGAUUCUAUGUACAUAUUGUCUCGUAACUACAUUUAUAAUCUAAGGGCUUAAAUUUGUAUCGUGCAGUAUCUUAUUUAUCCCUUAUAAUUGGAAAACCGGUUAAAGGGCUUGGGAUUGUACAAGUCUUUAUUGUAGCUAGUAGCUUAGUCAGUUACUCUCUCCGGCGUCCUAUUAGUUAUUGUUUCGGACAAUGUUCGAGUCAAACUUAUAAAAUUUUGACUACAAAUAACCAUUUUGCUAUUUAGUUUUGAAACCUAAUAUUUAUCUGCACCGAUUUGUCAUAAAAAUUCUUUUAUAAAAAUAUCUCUACUAACUAUUAAGAGAGGAGUGUAGACUGCCCCCGCCUCUCUACCCCGCCCGCCCGCCCGCGAACGCCAGAUUUUCGCACCGCGCCUCCGCCUCCCAGGAUUGUCGCGCCGUGCCUCCACCAUUUUCGCCGCCGCGCCCUCGACACCACCUCCAAGGAUCCUCGCCCCCGCCCCUGUACUCCUCGCGUCUGCGUCUCCCGCUCCAUUUCCGCUGCCCGCGAUGCGCUCGCACGCGUCGCCGCCCCCGGCCCGCGAUUGCCCCCCUCCCCGUCACCACCUCGCCGUGGGUCCUUGGCGCCGCCACCCCGCACACCGUCCGAACGGCAGCCCGGUUCUCUAAGCGAGAGGAGAUCGCUGGAAGAGGGGGGGCUGGGAGACGAGCAGGAACACGGUCCACAUCUGGGUGCCUUUUCUCUGUGAUGUCACACCCUUUUCACCUUGGAGAUCUGAUGCACCCAAUGCUCCGCCUCAAGUCUGUCUCUGUAGCGCCCUACAGUUGUUUUGAUUUAUUUUUGCCCCGUCGUUGACUUUUCCCCAUUUCGGUAUGUCUGCCUUUUCUCGUUUUCUGUCUGGAUUCGUGUUCUUCGAUCUGGAUUCAUCUUUGAACAAGGGUGUGGUUCAGUCACGCCAUUGGUGCUGCUAUGUUGUUGGUGUGGAGAUGAAAUGACGACAAAAUUGUUUCCCUAUUGGUUUGAAUGGCCGCCAUGAUGGCUCAAACUAUAUUAGCUCUAUCUAAUCAUCUCUGCCAUCUUGUGUCAUGUUUAAUCUGUCGCAUUUCUUUUCUUGAGAACGUUUUUAUAUUUGUGCACAAACGAUUCAAAUGCGUAUUUGGCAAAUCUUAACGAGAGCAGUCGACCUACCGGGAGAACGCUCCUGGGUUCAGUCUCCCCUGUGUUCAGUUGAGGAUAUGAUGACCCUUUCCCCAGAUGAUCGACAGUGAACAUACUGAGCGCAAUAAGUUCUCUAUUAGAGAACCACUGCAUCCUAACUUCAUAUUAGAGCCGUUCUACAUAUGUCUGUAUAUCUGGAUUUGGGCUUAUCUGAAGCCAAUCUUGUUUGCGUCGAGUUUCCAUUUUCAUCCCUGUGGCUGUGGCAGUGGGUCAGGCAUAUACCGUCGUCCCCCUGCUUAGCAGCCUAGAGGGAGCAGUACAGCACGGUUGGAGAGCUCAGAGGAAUGGACACGGGCAACUGAGGAAAGCAAACUGAGACUACAACAAUGGGUUACAGGUUCUUGGUGCGGAGCAUAAUGCCAGUUCACACCGGAAAUGUCGAAUCACAACCGGAAAAAAGAAGAGUGAUCCUGCCGGGGAGCAACCAACGCGACGGAGGGAGAUGGAACAAGCAAGGAGCACACGGUAAAAAAAAAUCUAGAUCUCCUUGCUCUUUCGUUCCCCCAUCCUUCACCAACAGCGGGAGCAGCUACUGACAAAUCUACCAUAUGUACACAGAGACGGCCAGACAGAGACCGGGCUACGGCUGCGGCGCAG
rnacentral:lncRNA from 1 species